GGGUGCUCCUAAUCUGGUGGCAAAUUAAAUCCUCAAUCAACUGUUGGUUUAGUCUACAAAGUGUCGGCAGCAAAUCAAGGAGUACAAAUGUACAGAGAGCUUGAGAAAUAAGGAACAAAUAUAGUACUGCAGUGUCACUUGCAGCACAGACGAAGGGGCAGCAUGCAUGAUUAUGCCUGCCUGCAUGAUUGAGGACCGAAACUAGCUGUGUUCUCUUUCUCUGUGAUGGGAUCAUCUGAACCCAGCCAUGCCAUCAUUGCAAGCGCGAAAGCGUGCCCCUUCCAACAGUUUAUCUGCCGAGAUGAGCAUGCAGGACAAUGUUUAGCAGGGAAUGUAGCCAAAAAAUUGCUCAGUGUUGAAGCAAAGCAAUAAAAACUUCCCAUAAUAUUUUCCAUGAAAGCACUAGAUGUUGUUCGCAUGAAGAAAUUAGAAUAGUGUAGAAUAUAGAUAUUUGUCUUAUUGAAAAUUCUAGAAGGGGACAUAUGUCAUCACCCUAUAAACCCCCUUGACGUAUAAAUAAAGACUCCUUUCUCCAUGCCAUCCAUCCAUAAGCAUGGUGAAUGAGAGAGUAUGGUAGAAGAGAGCAAAAUAGUAGUGCUAGGUAGAAGAAAGAGUGAGAGUGUGUGCGUUAGGCUAGCCACCUAAGUGUAAGAGUGCUUUGUUGUAAUACUCUUGUUGCAGUAAAGGGAGUAUUUUGUCAAGUCCAGGUCCCCAUAUCAGUAGUAAUAGUCCCACCCACUCUCAACGCUUACCGUGCACUCCAAACUCCGUGCACUCACCCUUCACCACCUACAGUGGGCUGGAAUGGCGGUACACGCAAGUGCUGGGUGUACAUCAGCCAAAUCCGUUGGGAUUGCACUGUAGCAUCCGGCUUCCCGUUGGGAUUUUGCAUUAGUUGUGUGUUGCCCGGAUUAGCAACCACGCAAGCGAACACAAACACUGUAGUUUAGCAGGCAGAUGAGGAGGCUCCCUGCUGCUACUCACUGAAAUAGUGAAAUCGCACUCUGGCAUGCACAAGCACAUUAUUGGUCCAGCCACAGAGUUUAGAUCCGGAGCCUCAUAAGGCUUUACGAUGGAACGGUCACAUCCAGUGAAGACGACAGAUAGAAAAGCGACAAACAGUGUUAAUAAGCUCUGGGAAAGUUUGGAUUAGGAAAAGGUUGAGCAUGCAUGUGGGAAGCUCUGUCAGGGAAGCAUAUCCAUAUGGUUGGCACAGGAUCAUCUAGUAAGCCUAAGCAGGGUCCUGCUAGCUGUUCCGGCAGGUAACAAAUGAGAUCCUGUGCCCAAUCACCUGUUGUGAUCGCCUAACACUGUUGGUUAGCAAAGAAUCUAAGAAUGAUGGACUGCCCAUCCACAUCAGUUGCACUCCUCUUUUAAUUUUCAGCACUACUUCACAGAUCAAGUACGUACGUUACAAAGAGUUUUCAGAUAAGAUGAUGCAUAGCACUUUCUGUAAAGGGACCAAUAACAAGCAUGGACAUAUGUUAAGCUCGGUGACCGAUCGAGUGUAUGCAGGGACAGAGUAUGAUGCUAGAGAAGAAGAGGCGGUCUUUAAGGAAAGGAGGUAUACUACAUGAGUAAUGACAUGAUUAGGCUCCAGUUGGAGUAGGCAAUUAAGCAUCUGUUUCUUUGUGUGAUGUGAUGAGCCGAACCAUUCUCUAGCAUAUCUUCAGUGAACGCGCGUGCAAAUACAAGGACUGCCAUCAUCAUUGCUAGUGCAGCGCAGGCGCAGCUUCUUGCUUGAUAUAGGAGUAUCUGCCGACGCAGUACCAAAUUUAGCAAGGGAAGCGAACUGCAUGCAUCCGUGUGUUGCUUACAGUGCACUCCACUCCCUGUGCAGUGUGCACCCACCAAUGCAAAUUAGUACCAUUUUCUUUUCCUCGCGCUUUGUGAUUUGUAAUCAGGUUUUGUAAUGCAAGGUCGGACGCACUCAAGCACAUACACCCACGUAGGUGACAUAGGUGUGUGUCCUAGCAUACUAAAUUUAGUAAGUUAAUGACUCGAACAUUAAACACUAAAAAUGCACACACAAGGUAACCAAAAUGACCUCAAUUUAAAAAAAACAAUUGAUGAACUAAAAUCUCUCUUGUUUUUAAGGGUGUGUUUGGUUGGGCUGUGACUUUUGGAAAAGCUGCUGUGAGCUGUGGAAAAGCAACUGUGAGAAAGCAGCUAUGGGAAAAGCAGAAGACCAUUUGGUUAGAGUAGCUGUGAAACUGUAGUUUGUGUAAGAAAUACCUGUAAUACCCCUAAAGGUCCGUGGGUGUGUUUAUAUGAAAAUUGUUCAUAAAAAAAAUAAUGUGUUCACUAAUUCGCAUGUAAAUGAAUAUUUUAGAAAGGAAAAAAAUAAAUUUUAUAUGUUCUUCGUCCAUUAAAGUGAUUGGUCCACAUAAAUAGAACAAUAUCCAUCAAAAGUUUUAUACAAUGAUGCCAUCCCUCAACAUUAUUGUCCCCCUCUCGCACUAACCAAAGCAUCAGCUAUCCUAGUACGAAUGGUAUUCAUGGUAUCCUCAUUCUCCAUAUCGUCACUCUCAUCUCCUUGUGUUUGUCUCGUGCCACUUGUAUGUUGUACAAAUACUCCUCCUCCUCAUCAUAUCUCUUGAACACCUUAUCACACAAAUUGCUGUCAUGGAUAAAAUUAUGCAAUGCAAGACAAGCCAUAAUGAUAUGCUUCUAAGUACGAGGUGAGAAACCUGGCAUGCCCUUCAAAAUAUGCCACUUCUGCUUUAAGACUCCAAAAGACCUUUCAAUGACAUUACGAAGAGAUGAAUGCAAGAAAUUGAACAUCUCUUACUUUCCUUGAGGAGGCCCCGAACGUUGCCGAAAUUUUGGUAUAUGGUACGUGCUUCCUUUGAAAGGCACAAGAUACCCAAUUCGGCGAAUUGAGUAACCCAAGUCCACAAGAUAAUAUUUUCCUACAAAAUCAAGUUAGUAAAGUAUAUAAUAAUACAAGUAUUGCUAACUUGAUGAAGGAACGAUGUAUACUUUAGGAGGCACGGGAAAUGAUGGAAAAUUUGCCAAUACAUGAUUCUGAGAUGUAUAUCCAUAACGGUAUGUGUGGUUAACCACUUCGUCCACUGGCACUGCCACUUUAACAUGUGAACCAUCUAUUGCUCCAAUUGCGCCUUUAAAGUAUGGCCAAAAAUGGUCUUCUCUCACUCUUUCAUGCUCCGUAGAAAAAGUAGAAUCUCUCAGCUUAAUGUUGUCCUUGGCUAACUUGCGCAAACACUUCAACACUUCAUGAAACUUCAUGUGAACUGUCCAAAGUGACCGUGUGAAACGAUUUUCAACUUGUGAAAAAGAUUGUGGUCUUCCGACAAUCCACAGGAACAUUGCCAAUGACUCAGUAGAUGAAACAUUGUUGCUUGAGGUCAAUCCGUGAAGUUUCUUGAAAAUCUCGAUGCUUAUCCGAAACAUCUUAUAAAAAUAUCUCAGACGUGAUAUACACUUCAUCACCCAUUGAAUUCCAAUUUCUGACGUUUCCCUAUAUUCAGCUUUGUGCAAAUACCGCUCAGUAUACAAGUUGCCAAUUUUUCCAAUAGCACCAGCAUACUGUGCAAGUUCAGCUAGCAGUAGUUAGCAUACUAUGAGCGUACAGCAAGAGAGGUCUAGUGUAUGCAGAUUCCUGAGGUUGCCAAUACUCUCAGGAACACUGACUAUACUAUCAUUAUUAGACAAGUCCAGAUGCUGCAGAUUAGAAAGGGUACAUAUACGGUCAAUGAAACUGAAUAGUACAUCUGAGCUCAGAUUCCAGAACAUAGAUCAUAUGGUAUGUGAUAAAUCCAGAUACACCUCUAAGCUGAUUGUUUUUUGAUAAAUCCAGAUAUUCCAACCUUUUGAGAUUCACAAAUGAUUUUGGGAGGUUACCUAUAAAGUCACAAUUCGAGAUAUCAAGAUGCAUCAGACAUCUCAAGUCACUAAUUGAAUCGCAAUGCUAACAUCCUGGAUCAAGUCACUAAUUGAAUCGCAAUGCUAACAUCCUGGAUCAAACAUGAGCAGAUCAGAAAAAGGGAUUCAAACCUCGGGUGGGGCAGCUGGCGGGGUGCAAAGGGUGGCGGCGGGCAGGGAAGGCGGGCGGUGGCCAGCGGCAGGCGGCGGGGUGCGGCGGCCAGGGGCGGCGAGUGGCGGCCGUCCAGGGGUGGGGUGUGGUGGGCGACUGGGGCCGGUGGGCCGGUGGGAGGUGGACCGGUGACUGGGGGCGGAGGGCGAUGGGCCGCCGGGGGCGGCGCUCGAAGGAGGAUCAUGGGAGGCGGACGGUUGUGACGAAGGACUACGGGAGAAAUAGAUCCGGAAACAAAAACGAACCGUUACCUUUAUAGCCAGUGGUAGGUGGGUAAUUUUUUACCCUAAAAGCACUUGAAAGCAGGGGAUGGUGCUUUUGCUUUUGUACUAGAGCAAAAACAGUUUUCGGGCAAAAGCACAUAGAGUUUUUUUUGACCCUUUGGUUGGUUUUUGACUUUUGCAAAAAUAAAAGCAGGUUAAAAAACCCAACAAAAACACCUAGGUGACCCAGCAGCAACCACGGCACGAACAUGGACUCAGAAUUGCUUUGUGGACCGGUGCUCGGGCCUACCAGUCCCACACUGAUGGGCCAGGCUAUUACCCUCCUCGGCCUCCAACCCGUAAAAUCGAUAUGCGACAGCACCUGGCCCAGUUAAAAAAAAAGGUUGCAGGCUCAGUUUGCUCUGUAAUCCCUACCAGCAAGAAUCUCGUAAGCUCAACACCUCACUGGCUUCACCCUUAAAAAAAAAAACACCUCACUGGCUUCUAACUUUAGUUCUGUUCCGAACGCAAGGAUCAAGCAAAUUUCACAUGCACGUGUGCGCGUGUGCUUUUUUGGCUAGUAUGAGUUGGUGUGGGUUAGAAUUAGUUAAGAUCUCAUAACCAAGUCCUACUCAUGUAGAUCUCGAUGUGCAGGUUGUUGCGCAUGAGAUAGAGAUAGAGAUAGAAUAUAUUGUUUAUUUGAAGAUCAAGUUGUAAUCCAAACAAACUCUCAUGUACAUCUUGUAGGCAUUUGCCUCUAUAUAACACGAAGCCGUGGAUGUGCUGCGUUCCACCAAAUUCUCACAUGGUAAUUAGAGCCACUUCUUCCUAAACACAUCUACUACCUUCCUUCCAUGGUGUCCUCCUCCUUCCCUUCAUCGAUCCAGCUUGGGUCUAGUGGUUCAGAGAAACUCAUGAGAGAGAACUACCGCCUAUGGAAAGCCCAGUUUCUGCCUGCCGUCCGUGACGUCCAGCUCAUGGAGAUCUUGGAUGGGUCUUACCCUGAGCCGCUGAAACCAUUGAAGACAACAAGAAGCAGAAGGUCCCUAACCCCGAGUACCACUCGUGGAUGGUCAAAGACCAAACCCUACUCAGCUACCUGAUGCACUCCAUCACCAAAGAUCUGCUGGGGAAGGUGGCGACGGAGACCUCCUCGGCUGAAACAUGGAAGGCGCUGGAACGCAUGUUCUUGGCGUGAUCGAGUGCACACGUGACAAAUCUACGCAUGCAACUCGCCAAUUUGAAGAAGGGUGGCAUGUCCACCAUGGCAUACUUCGACAAGGUUUGGGCCAUCAUCGAUGAGAUCGCUGCUGCCGGCAAGAUCAUCAACGAUGAAGAGGUUGUGGCAAAUUUACUUAAUGGUCUUGGUUAUGACUAUAACCCCUUCAUAUCAGCUGUCCUCAUCAGGAUAGAUCCAAUCUCCUUGGGAGAUCUGUACUCUCAGAUGAUGGUGUAUGACUUCCGUCUGGAGGCGUACCAGGAUGGCGACGAUCACUUCCAGUCAUCUGCAAAUUCGAUUGGUCAUGGACGUGGUGCACCUCGCGGUUGCGGUAACAAUCGCGGCAAAGGAUGAGGUGGUUGUGGGAGUGGAGGACGUACAAGCAAUGCUAGCACAGUCGCCCCCAAGCAAAGUGGACAAUCCUCAAGAACCAUUUGUCAGAUCUGCAAGAAGAUAGGUCAUGAAGCUUCUAGGUGUUGGUACCGCUAUGAUGAGGAUAAUGAAGAAGAGAACACCAAGGUUGCAGGAGCUGUCGGUGUUUAAACCCGGCAACCUACCACGGGAGUACCCGGGGUAGAGUUUUGGUUAGUGGGUGUCGCCAAAAUCAGGAACUCGAUGGUGUACGUAGGAACGCGAUUUAGACAGGUUCUGACUGCUAGAUCGCGUAAUACCCUACGUCCUUUGUGUUAUUUUGCUUGUAUUGGAUUGACUUGUUUGGAGGGGAUCCCUGCUCGCCCUUAUAUACUAGGGGAGUAGGGUUACAGGGUAGUUGUUCAACAAGAGUACUAGUUGGAUUCGACUACAGGGUACUACUCCAACUAGGACGAGUAGUUUCCUUGUCUUCGACUAGUCCCCUAAACUCCAUGUAGACCACGCCACCCUGUACCGUAGUCUUCAUGUUUUGAUAUGUUUCGGUGUACUUCUCCGUAUGUGGAUCCAUACAAACCUUCUGGUGGGCCCACGGAUGUAUGCACAACAGGCGCCACAACAAUUGGGUAUGGCUAUGACACUAACUGGUAUGGAGAUAGUGGUGCCACCGACCAUAUCACUAGUGAGCUUAAGAAGAUGAAACGGGAUCAAGUACACAUGGCUAGCAGAUCAGGUAUGAGCAUUAGUAAUAUUGGUCAUAUAACCUUACACACCCCUAGUAAAUAUCUGCAUCUAAACAAUAUUCUUCAUGUCCCUAGUGCCAAUAAAAAUCUUGUUUCUGUUCACAAACUUGCUCGAGAUAAUGAUGCCUUUCUUGAAUUCCAUCCUAAUUUCUUCCUUGUCAAAGAUCAGGCAACGAAGGCAAUUCUCCAUCGAGGUAGAUGUCGUAGUGGCCUUUAUCCUUUAGGUUCACCAUCCUCAAGUGGAAGGUCAAGGAAGCAAGUUUAUGGUGUCAGAACCGUCUACCUCUAGAUGGCAUAGUCAUUUGGGCCAUCCAGCUUUUCCCAUUGUUAAUCGAGUCCUUAGCAAUAAUAAGCUUCCUUAUGUUAGUGAUCAAACUCUCGAGUCAGUUUGUGAUUCUUGUCAAAUGGCCAAGAGCCAUCAAUUACCCUAUUUGUGAUCUGAUAAAAUUUCCAGUGCUCCGCUUGAUCUUGUUACCUCUAAUGUUUGGGGACCAGCGCCUACUUCUAUUGGGCGUCACUCAUAUUACGUAAGUUUUAUCGAUGAUUUCAGUAGAUACACUUGGAUCUUCCUUCUCAAGAAAAAAAUCAAAUAUUUUUCAAGUCUUUAGGGACUUCCAAAGCUCAGUUGAGCGGAGAUUUAAUAAAAAGAUUUUAUCUAUGAAAAUGGAUUGGGGAGUGAAUAUGAGAAGCUUAAUUCUUUCUUCCAACGCAUAGGCAUUGCUCAUAGGGUGUCAUGCCCUCAUGCUCAUCAACAGAAUGGUCUAGCAGAAAGAAAGUAUCGUCAUAUUGUUGAGGUAGGGUUAGCCCUUCUAGACAACGCUAGCAUGCCUCUUAUGUUCUGGGAUCAAUCCUUUCUAACAGCCACAUAUCUCAUUAAUCUCCUUCCUAGUAAAGUUCUUGACUAUGCAACUCUAGUUGAGCGCCUCUAUAAGGAAACACCUGAUUAUACCUCAUCGCGUACCUUUAGUUGUGCGUGUUGACCCAAUUUGCGACCAUACAACACACGCAAACUUGCUUUUCAUUCCCUUCGUUGUGCUUUCCUUGGGUACAGCUCCAUACACGAGGGGUUCAAAUGUCUGGAUGUCUCCUCUGGCUAGAUAUACAUUUCAUGGGAUGUGGUGUUUGAUGAGACAUAUUUUCCUUUUGCUCACUUACAUCCAAAUGCUAGUGCUCUUCUUAGGAAGGAAAUUCUUCUUUUACCAGAUUAUCUCUUGAAUUCAGGGGGUGUAGGCUGUAUUGAUCCCAAUAUUAAUGCUAACCCUGCUACAGAAGAACAUGUAAAUUUUUAGGAGCCAGCUGAAGAAAUUCCUACAUCAAAUGAUGCUGCCACAAUGCCAAACGGAGAUCCUCUGGUGUCCACAGGCGAUCCGGGCGCCCGUUCCCAGGCGUAUACGGCCAGACCAUGCGGAUCCGUCAGCUCCAGCUUAGUGCAUGGGGGGAGCAGAGGCGUGUCGGGCGCACCACCACCCUCUCCUAGUGCACUGCGUUCCCCUCUGUCGCCUGCACUGCAGCAACAAGCUGCGUCAGCACCGCCUGCACCUGCUCCGAAGUCGCCGCGUGGCUCGCUGUCUCCACCUCCUGCAGCGACAGCUCCGGUGGACGUUGGUGGAUCCUCUACGCUUAGUUCUAGAUCUAAUGUGGAGGCAGCUAUUUCACCUGAUCAGAUUCCAGGGCCAUCUCCUCCAAAGCGCACCAGAUUGAAAAGUGAUAUUGUAAAACCUAAAAAAUUCUUUGAUGGAAUUAUCAAAUAUGGAAAUUUCUGUGUCACAGGUUAACCUAAGUCUAUACAGGAGGCUCUUGAUGAUACCUAGUGGAAAAAAGCAAUGGAGGAUGAAUACAAUGCGCUCCUGAAAAAUCAGACUUGAUAUCUGGUCAAGGGAAAACAAAGUACAAAUGUGAUUGAUUGUAAGUGGGUAUAUAAAGUGAAAAAGAAAUAUGAUGGCACAAUAGACAGAUACAAAGCUUGAUUAGUAGCCAAAGGAUUCAAGCAACGGUAUGGUAUUGAUUAUGAGGAUACCUUCAGUCCAGUUGUGAAAAUUGCUACUGUUAGGCUUGUUCUAUCAAUUACAAUUUCCAAAGGAUGGUGCUUAAGGCAACUAGAUGUGCAGAACGUGUUUCUUCAUAGUGUUCUAGAAGAAAAGGUAUAUAUGAAACAACCACCUGGUUUUGAAAGUGCUAAAGGACCACAUAUGGUAUGUAGACUUGACAAAGCUAUUUAUGGUCUAAAACAAGCUCCUAGGGUAUGGUAUGCUAGAUUGAGUUCUAAGUUACUUGAUCUUGGAUUUAAUACUUCAAAAUUACAUAUCUCUCUUUCUAUUUAUCGUAAGGCUGGAAUAACAAUUUAUAUGCUCAUAUAUGUGGAUGAUAUAAUUGUUACAAGUUCUUCUAGUAAAACCGUAUCAGCUUUGAUGACUGAUCUAAAGAAGGAUUUUGCCUUGAAAGACUUGGGAGACUUGCAUUAUUCCUUAGGCAUCGAAGUGCAAAGAGACAAGGAAAGCUUGCUUCUGUCACAAGAAAAAUAUGCAAAUGAAAUACUAGAGAGAGUAGGGAUGACCAAAUGCAAGCCUUCGCUAACUCCUCUGUCAACGUCAGAAAAGCUCUCAAGAUAUGAAGGCAAACCGCUGAGUGUAGAAGAUAGUACCCGCUACAGGAGUAUAGUUGGGGCUCUUCAGUAUCUUACUCUCACUAGGCCUGAUAUAUCAUUCUCAGUAAAUAAGGCGUGUUAAUUUUUACAUGCACCACGGAUCUUUGGACAGCUGUUAAAAGAAUUCUCAGAUAUGUCAAACUUACUGCUAGUCUCAGGUUACACAUUCAAAGAUCCAAGUCAUUGUUGCUAAGUGUUUUCUCAUAUGCUGAUUGGGCAGGAAGUAUUGAUGACAGGAAAUCUACAGGUGGGUUUGCAGUAUUUUUGGGACCUAACCUUAUUUCUUGGAGUGCUAGGAAGCAAGCUACUGUCUCUCAUUCAAGUACAGAAGCGGAAUACAAGUCUGUGGCAAAUGCAACUGCAGAAGCAAUACGGAUGGAGUCACUAUUCAAGGAGCUUGGUGUUAAACUUGAUAAACCACCAUGUCUCUGGUGUGAUGACUUGAGAGCAACAUACUUUUCAGCUAACCUAGUCUUUCAUGCUAGAGCCAAACACAUUGAAAUUGAUUUCCAUUUUGUCAGAGAGCGUGUAGCUAACAAGCAACUGCAGGUUCGGCUUAUUUCUACCAAAGAAUAGAUUGCUCAUGUCUUUACAAAGGCUUUACCAGUUGGGAAGCUUGAAGACUUCAUGAACAAUCUAAAUCUCAAGGCUAAGGAGAGUUUAGAUUGAGGGAGGAUGUUAUAAUUAGUUAAGAUCUUCUUGUAACCGAGUCCUACUCAUGUAGAUCUUAAUGUGCAGGUUGUUGCGCGUGAGAUAGAGAUAGAGAUAGAAUAGAUUUUUAAUCUUCAAGUUGUAAUCCAAACAAACUCUCAUGUCAGUCCACGUUCCACCAAAUUCACACAGUGUGUCCGUGAAGUACCUUGCAGGAAUCUGAAAUGUGGCUAGGAUGUUGAUUCCGGACAAGAGAAUAACAUUUGUUUAUGUGUAUGUAGGGUGCCGUUUUUAUUCAUGAAUCCAUAUGCAAUUAUUAAAACUAAAAAUGCAAACAAAAGUUACUCAUGAAUAAAAAAAAUAUCCACGGCAGAAUUUUAAGUCCUGCAUGAAUAAAAAUAUAUAUCUAACUUUGUGCUUAUGAAGGGAUACUUUAAAUCUUUUUUGGGUCAUCGCACACUGCGCUUGGAUACAUAGAAGGAACCAUUAUACAGUGAUACACUGGUGGUGCCGUGCACACUAUAACAAAUACAGUAAUAACCAUUCUCUUGUGCUUCAUACACAAACUACAAAUACAUAGCAUAGUUAUACGUGUCACACGAUGUAAAACAUUAAGAAUUACCUUCUCAUCAAGAAGUUCCAAGUGACAACCACAUGAACGCACAUCGUGUGAUACAAGUAAUCAAUGGAGGCGAAAUAGGAAUACCUCAGUCCCUUAUGUAACAACAUAAUGCAGAACACCAUCCAAAGGCCAAACACGAACCCGAUAAUCAUGCUCAGGUAGAUGGAGUUCACCAUCCCAUUGUCCUUCUGCUCAGGCUCAUCAACUGGAGAAUUACUUGUUCCAUUUCCAGGGCAACCCUUUGGGAGUGGAGGACCACAUAAACCAAUGUUUCCAACAUACAUCGAUUCCGGGUCAUCAGUUGCUAGCGUCUGAAGUUGAUUCCCUGUUGGUAUUCUUCCGCUUAGAUUGUUAUACGAGAGGUUGAAGCUGGCCAAAGAAGUUAGAGCUGAUAUGCUAGAAGGGAUCUCUCCAGAUAGCUCAUUAUGUGAUAAGUCGAGGGACUCCAAUGCCUUGAGGUCACCAAUGUUAUUGGGAAUUCUCCCGCUUAAAUGAUUCCAAGAAACAUUCAAGCUUUUCAAAGCAACCAGAGCACUAAUGCCUUGAGGAAUUUGCCCAGUCAAAUUGUUACAUGAUAAAUCAAUAUUUACCAUGUACUGAAUUCCUUGAGAUAAUUCAAGCUGUUGCCCUUUGGUUAGAACUGACGUGGUCUCUGUAAAGAAAAUCGUAGGACUAUAAGUUUCCACGCCGCCGAUUCCAGAUCCUUCUACUUCAUCAAGGGAACUAUAUCCGUUGGAGCGAGCCAUUGCACUCAAGUUCACCAUGGACUCAGGUAUUUGACCAGAAAUGCGGUUACAUGCAAGGUCAAUAUAUUGAAGCCCUUGAAUCGUUGCAAGUUGAAUGGGAAUAUUGCCAGAAAAGUUAUUGGACCGCAGUCGUAGCCAUGCUAGGGAUGGCAACUUAUCUCCUAACCAUGCUGGCAAAUUCCCAGAGAAUUGGUUAUAUGCAAGAUCAAGGAAAAUUAAAUCUUGGGACAUCUGAAGAGCUGACGGGAAAACUCCUGAAAGAUUAUUGCUAUUUAAGUUAAGUGCAUGCAUAUAUUUGUAAGAAUCGGAAUCUCCUUUGCAAGUGGGCAACUCUCCUGAUAACAUGUUUCCUGAUAGGUCUAGUAUAUACAGGUGUUGCAUGAGGCACAGCGACAAUGGUAUACUGCCAGAAAUUGAAUUGUUAUAAAGAGAAAAAAUCUGUAAAUUCAUGGCUCCAAAGUCUGGUAGUGUUCCUGAUAAAUUGUUUCUGGAGAGGUCAAGAUACUGUACAUUUCUGGGAAAACGUGGAACUGGACCUGCAAAUCUGUUACUACUAAGGUCAAUGAUUUCUGCCGCCAACAUUUCAAGACUUGCUGGUAAUGUGCCAGUUAAUAAAUUUUUUGACAUGUCCAAAAUGGAAGCUGUUGAAACUACGACCCACAACCAAUCGGGUACAUUGUCAUAUAUGGUUGCAUUUGAAAUGUCAAGAACAUUGAUACUCCUUUGCCAUCUAAUCCAUGAUGGGAACGCAGGUCCAAGCUGGCAUGAUCUGAAACUGGCCACCUUUAAUUUGAAUGAAGGAAUCCAAUUUGAGUGUACCUCCAUGGAAAGAGAGUUAUCAGACAUUUCUAGUACUUGUAAAUUUGUCAAUGCUUCCAGGUGCUCUUCAUUUAUUUCACCAACCAGCCAGUUAGAACCAAGAUUUAAUAUAGUCAAAUUGUUAAGUCCUCCUAUCCACAAUGGUAAAGAGCCCGUGAUACCGUUACCAUACAAAUUUAAGGAAGUCAGAUUCUUUAGAGGCUGUAACCAAUUUGGAAGGUUCCCGGCCAAUUCGUUAUAGGAAAAGUCCAACACGUACAGCUUGUUCCAUGAACAUUUUGGAAGCCUGUCCAUCAAAUCACCUAUAUCCCCAGUGAUAUUAUUAAAUGAAAGAUCCAUAAUCUUCAAGUUACAUAGGUUCUCCCAAUUUGGUGGUAUCAUACUCGUAAUAUUGUUGUCACCUAUAUAAACUUGCUCAAGUGAGGUUAUAUUUCCCAUCUCAUAAGGAAUUGGGCCUUGGAAGCCAGAUGAGGAGAGGCCAAGAUAAGUCAAUGUCCUUAUGUGCCAAAACCAACUGGGAGAAAUUGUAGUAUGAAAGGAGUUGUAGCUGAUGUCCAAUACCUUAAGUGCUGUUAGAUUAGAAUGGCUGAGAAUGGUAUUUGUGUUUCUUAGAUCGCUGACACUUAGAUAAAGAACUUCUAGUGAUGGAAGGCUGCUAAUUCCAUAAAUCCAGUCUACUGCGGCGCUAAGAUUCGCCCAGCUCAUGUCAAGGUACUUCAGUUGGGAAAGAUGUGACACCCAUAUAAGGCUGUCUGAGUAUAGAUAGCUGCAGUAAUAAUUGUUCCCGAGAUCAAGAUAGACGAGGUUGGAUAGAUUACCUAGCUGCGGAGGUAUUCUCCCCAAAAAUUGCGCAAAGGAAAGGUUGAGGUAUUCAAGAUUUUUAAGGGAGCCAAUAAACUUUGGGAUGCUUGAACCAUUGAAGUAGUUACAACUCAAGUCUAAAUACUUCAGAUGUUGCAAUUCAACUAAGGAGGAGCUCAUCUCACCUCCCAGUGCGUUCUCCGAAUGACCAACGUCACCAUGGAGAUCGAGCUUGACAACAUGGCUGGUUCUGUUGCUGCAGUGAACACCCUUCCACUGGCAGCAAUCCUCUCCCUGCCAUGAUGAGAGUUGGCCCCCGGGAUCUAAUAAGCCGGCCUUCAAUGAGAGCAGCGCAUCCCUCUCACUUGUGAUGCAUCUCCCAUUCGAUCUCUUAGCUUGAAGGGAGGAACUUGAGGGCAUGGGCAGGAUCAGAAGCAGCCAGGUUAGGACUGUUCCUUGGAGAAGCUGGAACCUCACCGCAGCCAUUUUCAGCACGUAUGAGAUAUGAGUGCAGUAUCAAUGUCUCAACUCUCAAACCUGAUCGUUUUAAGCCUAAUCAGACCACUAAUCAUGAUUAGGCGAUGACUAACUGGACGACUAGCUUUCUGGUCGCUCAUGACUAACUGGCGGUCCAGAAUGGAUUUGACCGAAGUCAAUACCGGUCAACCCCACCGCCGCUCCAUUGUUUUCCUAAAAAUUCCCGAGUUUUAUAGUUUUUGCACUUGAGGUCCUGCGUAGUUUAAUAGUAAUUAGAUUUAGAUCCUUUUCCUUUUAUUUAAGCCCCUGCUCUUUUUAAAAUCAUCCCUGCCGUCCUAACUUUCUAGUCGCUCAUGCCUAGUCGCUGGUCCUUAUCGGUUCUAGGGGAGAGAUAAGCCCGACGAAUCGUGAUUAGGGCCUGUUUGGCUCCAUGGUGUUAAGUUUAACACCCGUCACAUCGAAUGUUUGGAUGCUAAUUAGGAGUAUUAAACAUAGACUAAUUAUAAAACUAAUUGCACAGAUGGAGUGUAAUUCGUGAGACGAAUCUAUUAAGCCUAAUUAGUCCAUGAUUUGACAAUGUGGUGCUACAGUAACCAUUUGCUAAUGAUGGAUUAAUUAGGCUUAAUAGAUUCGUCACGCGAAUUAGCACAGGGUUCUGCAAUUAGUUUUAUAAUUAGCUCAUGUUUAGUUCUCCUAAUUAGCAUCCGAACAUUCGAUGUGACACUGUUAAAGUUUAGCACCUCGUAUCCAAACGCCCCCUUAGUCGGGCAACUUUGUCGCACAAUCGUGACUGAGAAUGAUAUCAUCCACACAAUUUUGUCGCACAGCUGUCACAUGCUACCAUUAUUUGUGGUUAAUAAAUGCUAUGGAAAGAUAUGAGACAAAAUUCUUAUAGCCAUACUGUUCUGUUUGAACGCGUUGACAAAUUCCCUGCAGUAGUGCAUACCCGCAUAGCUGGCUAAUGCCUGAACAGCACUCGAGACACUUCUGUGGUCUGUAUAGACUGUCCAGUCAUCUUUCCAUGAUCGAAUGGAAUCUGCGCGUGCCUAGCCUACAAGUAAAUUACGUAAACUUAAAAUCUUAAACCCACGACUGUCGGUGUUUUAUACUGGCCGUCUACCAAGGGGUACCCGAGGUAGCAGAAUGUGUAAUGGGGGAUCGCCGGACCUGGAACUUGAAGGUAAAAGUGAGGACACGAGACAUAGAUUUAGACAGGUUCGGGCCGCCGGAGUAGCGUAAUACCCUAUGUCCUGUUUGGGUGUGUUUGUAUAUUGCGCCCUGCGCUUGGGUGUUGAGGUGUGACCUGCCGAGCUAGGUACCCCUGCCCUCCUUUAUAUACUUCAGGGGCAGAGUACUAGUCAGAUUACAAGGAGGAGUCUUAGUAGGAUUACAUGGGAUGAGUCCUAGCAGGAUUACAGGGGAAUCAUAGUAGGAGUCUGACUUCUUCCUUCCUUGCGAGUAUUGGGGAUGUAUCCCCGACAAUGACUUUCACUAAUUUGCACAAAACAUUAACUAGAUCAUACCUUGUAAAUAUGCAUUUACUUUGAUCCCUAUUAUUACUACAGUGUGAGAAUUCAAGGGAGACUGUUCGUUUGGCAAGCAAGGUGUUGAGAUCGUAGCCUUAGAUAUCUUUGCUAAGAAUGGAUAUAGAAACAAUAAUAGGCUUUGCUUAUAAUUUUUCUCCUUUUCAUUUGCGUACUAUUUUCCCUUUUAUUUAUAAUCAGCUUAUAAGCUGAAAAUUCUGUGAAAACUUGGUUGUGUACAGUCACAUAGGCCGAAAACUAUUCUUUUUCUAAAAAAUUGGAGAACGAGCUUGACAACAUGGAUGGUUCGGUUGCUGCACUGGACACCCUUGCACUGCAGCAAUCCGCCUCUCCUUUCCAUGAUAAGAGUUGGCCUCCCGGAUCUGAUAAGCCGGCCUUCAAUGAGAGCAGUGCACCCCUCUCACUUGCAAUGCAUCUCCCAUUCGAUCUCUUAGCUCGAAGGGAGGAACUGGAUGACAUGUGUAGGAUCAGAAGCAGCCAGAUUAUGGCUGUUAUUUGGAGAAGCAGGAACCUGCUGCAGCCAUAUUUGCAAAUCUAUAUCGAAAUGGAAGCAUUGGUCUUAUUCGAUGGCAUCCGUUUCAGCAGUCAAAGUCUUGGUCGUAUUGUCUGAAUGGUAUCCUCCACGUUUCACCAUCAGAUAUGAAAGAUAGCCAUCGUAUAUUUUCAGUCAAUUAAUACUAUGAAAAGACAUGAGUACAUGAGACGAAAUUUCUUAUUGAACGUGCGUGGACCGCCGUGUUGCAUUGACGAUUACCUAUCACUCCGUAGCAUAGUUGCACAGCUGUGCAAGCCCUUGUUUACUUCCCAAGUUGGGAGGUGCCAAAUUGGUAUUUUACCAUAAAUGCGACACUGUAGCGUUUCGUUUGUAUUUGUGAAUUAUUGUCCAAAUAUUGACUAAUUAGGCUCAAAAGAUUCGUCUCGCAAAGUACAACAAAACUGUGCAAUUAGUUUUUGAUUUCGUCUACAUUUAGUACUCCAUGCAUGUACCGCAAGUUUGAUAUGAUGGGGAAUCUUCUUUUUGCAUAGUGUCAAAGUUGGGAAUUUGGAGGGAAGUAAACAAGGGGUAAGUCUUGCAGCAGUUAAAGCCCACAUAAUAAUUUAUCUUUAUUUUUUAUUAAACAGGAGGGGUCAGGCCCUGCUAGUUAUACGUUACAAUGAAUGACGAGUUAUGUACACGCUACCUCCGUUUCAAAUGGAAAAUCAUUCCAAUUUUUUUGAAAAAUCAAAUAUCUUAAAUUUGAUCAAAUUUAUACAAUAAAGUACUAACAUUUAUGAUACCAAAUAAAUAUUAUUAGUUGUUUAUUAAAUAUAUUUUCAUAGUAUAUCUAUUCGGUGUCAUAAAUCUUUAUAAUCCUCUCUAUAAUUUUGGUCAAACAUAAAUGAUUUGACUCUUCAAAGAGUUGGAAGGAUCUGAAAUUUGAAACGGAGGGAGUAAUUCAUAAGAAAAAAGAGAGGAUAUUACACUAUAUUCUAUGGGCAUAAAUUCUAAUUGAUGGAUGAUACGCCUUAUAAAACCACUUCUUGCCGUCCAAUCGGGGUACGCAAGCAUCUAUUGCUUUUUUGUGAUGUGAUGCACCGAACCAUUCUCUGCUAGGGACUGCCAUCAUUGCUAGUUCAGGUCGGCUAAGCAUACAGGAGUAUCUGCCGAUGCAGUACCAAAUUUACCAGAUACUAGCGUAAACUUUAGCAGGGUCUGGUUCGGAUAUUAAUUAAGAGGAUAAAAUAUAAGUUAAUUAUAAAACUAAUUCGUGAGAUAAAUCUGUUAAGCUUAAUUAAUCCAUCAUUAGCAAAUGGUUAUUGUAGCACCACAUUGUCAAAUCAUGGACUAAUUAGGUUUAAUAGAUUUGUCUCGAGAAUUAGACUCCAUUUGUGCAAUUAGUUUUGUAAUUAGCCUAUGUUUAAUACUUCUAAUUAGUAUCCAAACAUCUGAUGUGACAGGUGCUAAACUUUAGGAGGAGCCAAACAUGAGAUUAGCAAGUGAAGGGGAUUGCAUCCAUGCUUAAUCUCAGUGCACUCUCCCUGUACAGUGUGACACCCACCAAAGAAGUACUGUUUUUCUUUUAUUUUUUCUUGAGCUUUGUGAUGUGUUUCAGCUUUUGUAAUGUAAGGUCGGGCGCACACAAGCAUAGUUGAAACACAAGCAUAGCUGAAUUUACACCCGACCGGAGGUUCCCUCCGGUCGACGACACAUCACGCGUGCAUGCUUGGUCGCUGGCCCACCAUCCCCUCCCCAUGAGAAGAUUAGGCUCCUAUCCACCUAGCUUAUCCCAUUUCUUUUCCCGUGACUCUCAUUCCCUUUGCCUUUUCUCUCUCCCCGCAGACCUUGACCGAUGACCGGUGGAGAAACUGAGAGGGCUCGGAAGCAUCUCGCAGAGGCCGCAUAGUGCCCUCGCGCGGGGAUGAGCGCCCCCCUGAGAGUGGAGAGCUUCGCCAGCGGGGAAGGAUCGAGCAGCCUGUGGUGUAGCGGCGCACGAGCCCGGUGAAAAUAGCGAAAUUUCUGUAAGGAGAAAUCUGACUCCCUGUAUCCUCGUGAUAGUCCCUGGAACAGUAGUUAUCACAUACUAAACUCAUUUCAGCAAAAAUAUCACUUCCAUACCUCGAUAACAAUACAAAUUUAUUUAUUAUAUCCCAAAAUAUGAAAGUACGAUCUGGUUCAUGCCCCUUGGGCUAAACGACAUGAAUAAAGCCAACACAGCGCUACCUGGAAGCAUCUCCAUCUUCACGAUCACCUCCACAGGCAUUCUUGAGCGUAGCACAGCAACGCUCAGUUGUACCAACCGUCGUGGUUGUUGUCGAAGUCAUACUCGUUACCUGCAAACUCACAAGCUGUUCCCAAGAAUUAGGACAAGUUCACGUCACCAUCCGUAUGCAAGCUUUAAGUGGCCUAAUACUAAGGGUCAAAAGUAGACAAGGAGUAGGUUCGGGUUUACUAAGGAGCAAGCAUAAAGAUAAACUCUAUAUCCAUCAUCCCAAUCUCUCAGCACAUCGGGCACACCUGCCUAGACAGGGUCCCUAUCACCAACAUCCUAACUCCAAACUUGGGUCGAGGAGAAGACUCCCUCUCUUCGCCUCUCAACACCUACAGCCGGAUCCUAAAGGGAAAGGGAGCAACUUCCCCUCUUCCUGAUUGCAGAUGCGGCUCACAUCACACAUAGGUAGCUCUAAGGGGGAGGUAAAGAUAUCCGAAAACAAUGGAGAGUUGUGACGUCACAGGGUUGUCCAUGACCGAGGACGCGGCUAUACGUAUAGUUUUAACUCUGUAGAGUGUGUACACCUGGACCCAUCUCGAAGUGAGUGCAAACGGUCCAUCGACCGAGAGAAUGUCACCCUACCGAGCGAAGAACCUGGGAGUUACGAUACCAUCCUGCAACCGGGCUCGGAUGCAAUCCCCCGUAGUGGAUCACCCCAGAAUUGUGAAGAACUCCCACCGGGGCCAAUCGGGGGUAAAAGCAAAUAGGGGGGCUAAAGGUCAACACCACUCCCCCUACUCUUAUACUCUAUUCUACGACAAGUAUGGUAUUGCACUUGCUAGUCUCGACCCGGGCCUAAACCCAUAAUUUGGCGAGUGGCAUGCACAUUUAACAUAUUCCUAUGAAGCAUGGCGACCCACUCGGUUUCAGACCGGGGUGAGCUCCUAACUCCCAAAAGCGUCCCCACAACGUGGUUCGCAGCAGCACCCAUAACAAGUAUCACCCCCAACUUCUAUGCUCCUCAUUUGUGUACUCGCAACAAGUACCAAUCAGGAAACAUCCGAGAAUGGACCUCAAGUCCCCAAUCCAAAGAUUGGGUUGUGUAAAGCUCACCCCCGUCAAGUAUCCCAAAAUCACCUUCUCCUGCCAGUUUUAAUCCCACACACGUCAAGAAUUCUAAUCACAAUAUCCCAUACACAUGCAAGCAUCACACAUAACAUAUAUAAGUAGUAUGGUAGUAGGUCGAAUAAGGAUUCAAGGCAUAAAGAAGGUCAUGCAAGGUUCAUCAUCAUGUGAGGAAAUAAAGUGCUAGCAUACUAAUUUAGCAAUGCCUAGUGGGUAUUCAAAUUGAAUGGGCGUGAACCUAAGUAGUCUUUCUCCUCGUAGUAGUCCUCGAACGGCUCUAGCUCCGGGUUCAGCCCUGAGUCGCCGGCAGCUCGUAAUUACGCAAUUACCAUAAUUACUGGGAUUCAAGUUACAAAGUAACUCCAAAAGAGAUCCAAAGAAGAACCAAAUAAGAACAAAGCCUAGUCUAAUGUGUGCUGCAUGAUUUUAGGAAAAUUAUGAAACUGGUCUCAUAAUUUUUGGAAUUAUAAUGACUUAGUUAUGACUUUUUGAAGUUGAAAACAUUUUUCGGUAUUUUGAUAUGAUAGGCGAAAAUAGAAAACAAAGAAGUUAGCUGUUUUAUUGGCCGUAGGUCAGCUGCAAUCUAGAUGCAAACUGCCACAAUGGUUUACAGGUAGCUUUUGAGGUUUACAGGCAGGUAGCUAUAUGCUGGUGUGGGGAGUUUUUGGUUUCUGGGGAUGAAAACCGGAAGCUUCGACUUUGGAACUGGAAGUUUCGAUUUGAAACAGGAAGUUCUGGUUUAGGAAACUGGAUGUUCCGGUUUUGAAACAAGAAGUUCUGAUUUAGGAAAACUGGAUAUUCCAGUUUGGGAACUGGUAGUUCUUGUUUUCCACGAGUAGAUCUCUCCCCUUGGUGGGAAUCUCCUGGGAAGGGCUAUGGAUGGUCCUGGAAAGUUAGGGUUCACCACUUAAGGGUUUGGGGUUCGUUUGGCUGAGAUUUUCUAAGGUUUCUAGAGAUACUACAGGCUGGGCUAAGCAGAACUAGAAGUUCCAGUUUGGAAACUGGAAGCUCCGGUUUUGCUAAGGUUCGGUCAUGAUGAGCUUUGCGAAUGCACGAGUGCGCGGUUCAGGUCACAGAUGCAGCGGUGUUUCACCCAGGCGAGCGAGGUUGUGAGACUCACCUGGUGGGCUUGGGGACGAGGGAAGAAGCGGUGUGGUGAAGAGGUGAAAUGAAUGGGUGUGGGCUUGGUGGCUCUCCGGCGGGGCAGCGGCGGUCUCCUCCUCCUCCGGCAUCCUCUCCCCGUCCCCUGCACCCCCUCCUCCCUUCUCCUCUUCUCCAAACAGUGGCGGGUGAAGGGGAAAACCCCAAUUUUGGAUGGGGACGGGAGUGGAUGGUGGGGAGCUCUAAUAGGAGGCAGCUAGGGUUCUGCGUAAUGAUGGAUGGUGGAGGAUGCGGCCGGGCAGUGUGGCAAGCAUCCGAAGGCGCCAGCGUGAAAAGUUAAUGUGGGCAGGCCGGCGUCGUGCGCAGCACGCACGUCAUUGUCGUGCCUUUGCCGCGUGCAUCUGCACUGACGAGAGGGGCCAAGCGGUCAGCGACUUCGGUGCAGAGGCGGUGUGGGAAAAAAACCAGAGGUUCCGGUUUUGGAAGACUGGAAGUUCCGGUUUUUGCUGCAGCCUUAGGUUGGGUUGUUAGAUAGGUGGGCCCGUGAGGUUAGUUGGGUUGGUUUGGGCUCAGGUUAGGUUUAGUUAGUUCUUCUUGUUUUAUUUGUAUUUGAAUUAUAAAUCCCACUCAAACAAAUCCAAAUAAAUUCCAAAUGAACUCGAAAGAUUCACACUAGCACCUAUAACACCUUAGCAUUUUAUUCUAAUCUAUAAGUCAAUUUUAGAAGGUUUGGGUGAGAUUCACUGAAGACACUCUUAUAGUUUGGAAAAUUUCACUCCACAACACAAAAUUUUUUGAAAUCCACAUUUUUGCAAAUCCAAACAUCCCGUAAAAAUACGGGAUGUUACACCCGGGGGUGCAGCUGCAACUAGCGGCGUGUGGGUGAGCGCGUAGCGACGACACUACGACAGAAGCGGGUGGGAGCACAACGGCAGCCCCGGUGAGCGUCUGCGCUCGGCUGUGGUGAUAGGCCCAGAGAGCAACAGUGAUUCACAAGGAGGUUAUUGGCUGCGCAUGAUGCACGGCAGGGGGAUACGAUGCAGCAGCCUCGCCGGCAAGCUCCUGGAAGCAUCAUUCCUUUUUUUCUACUUUUUCUCUCUUUUGUUCUAGAUUUUGUUGCAAGAGUUUUGUACAAAACAUUUUCAAAUUCUGUUCACAAUUUUUUUUCUUCAAUUUUUCUCAAAAAAUUUUCUUAGCUUUUCUCAAUAUGUUUUGUAAAUUUUGUCUCAACUAUUUCUUCCAAUUUUUUUCUACCAAUUUUUUAAAAAAGGUAGAAAAAGUUUUGCGUCAAAAAUGGUUUCAUGUUACUUUCUUGUUUAUCGAAAACUUUGUUCAAAUUUUUUCUGAUAUUUUUGUUUCAAAAAUUUGGUUUCCUUUUUUAAAAAAAUUAUAUAAACUUUUUUAUUCUUUGAAUUUUUUGUAUAAAAAUUUUUUCAUGCAAAAGUUUUUGUUGAUUUUUGUUCUUGAUUUUCUAUCCCAAAACAUUGUUUGUAUAAUUUUUGCAACAUCUGCAAUGGUGGACGUAAUAGACGGGGCACUGGUUGGUUGCAGCAUCAGCACAUGUGUGCAUGUGUAUGCUUGUGUCGGGAAAGAGGGGAAAAAAUAAUGGCGUAGGUGGUACCGAAGCUGGAAAGAGAAAGUAAAUGCGGUUGGAAAUUAACCCAUGUAGGUGUGUCCUAGCAUACCGAAGUUAGUAGUUUUACGACUCGAACUUUAUAACCACUAGUAAGGUGCCCGUGCUUUGCAACGGUACCCAAUUCAAAUACUAUCUUUAAUUUAUACAUAAUGUUCAAGUAGUUUGUUUUACAUACAAAUGGAACAAAACACAAUAUUUAUAAUUAAAUUAUAAGUAGAAAUAUGUCCCAUACAAAUUUAAAUUAUAAAAAUACUCCUAGAUUUGAUUCAAUGACCAUAUAGAAAUCAUAUAUCAACCAAUGUUACAACAUUUCAACAAAAGUUCUGCCUUCAACAAAACAUCUUGUCAAUUUUCUUGCAGAUGACACAAUCCAUGUAAGGUAAGAACCAGAUGUUUUUUCAGGUAUUGUAAAAGCACGUUUACCUGAUGGUGUGUCAUAGCCAGUACAAGCCCUUUUUUCUUUUCCUUAUGCUGGAGUGGUGUGAUAUAUAUGUGAGGGAUAUGGGUACCCAUAAGUCCCCACCAACCAGGAUGCUGGCCGGACCCGACAAGUAGGCCCACCUGACCAGGGUGUGUGGGCUAAGGACAUGAAGUUACUUGGAGUGCACGACAAGGCAACUAGAUUGUCUUAAUCUACCUGAAUAUUGUGGGAUGCGUAUUGUAAUCCGACAUAAGAAUACCUUCCAUGUAAAGACCGAGUAGAUUAGAUUCAAACCGACUUGUAACCCUUGGUCGUCAGACUAUAUAAGGCAGCCAAGGGCACCCCGGGGACAUGUCAUCCCAUACCAAGCAAUACAAUCCACGCAUACAGGACGUAGGAUAUUACUCUCUGGAGGUCCAAACCUGUCUAAAGUCUUUGUGUCCCUUUGUGUUCUCGCGAUCACCAUCGAGUUCUUGAUUUUGCAAUCACCCUCACAUACAAAUCAACCACCUAGGUAACCCCCUGGUGAACUGCCAGAUCUGUAACUCCGACAGUUGGUGCGCUAGGUACGGGAGGUUGCCAGAUUAGCUUUUGUGACCUUGAUGGCAUCCCAUCCCAGCGUUGUUUUUCCCGAGAGCAUGAAGGAUUUUCUGAACAACCUAGUGCAGAUCCAAUUUGGAACCAUGCCAGUGGAUUCUGUUCCGACCACCUUCUCCGUCAACUCGGCGGCUUCCGUCAACUCAGCAGCUCCCGUUGUCUCGGUGACUCCCAUCAACUCGGCAACUUUAGCUAACUUGGCGUCCAGCAGAUUCUCCACCCAAGGAUCAUCAUGCCACUCGCCUAGCAAGUUGGCAAACUUUUCGUCUCGGAGAGGCUUCGAAAUCUAGUUGUUGGCGCCCACCAACCCAUGCGCUCAGAUUUGAUUGCGGGGUUAGAUCGUAUCAGCAGCACUACCGCUGAGUGUAUAGAGAUGUCCGAGGCAGCGUUGCAUGAAUCCAGGUCAGCAUAGGGUCCGUCCUGCGCCCCCUUCAGACUACAGAAAUCAGCUUCCAAGAACUCUGCCAGGAUUGCAAGUCUUCCAGAUCCAAUCUGGAGACCCAUCUGAACCCGCCCAGUCUCUGGAUUGUGGUGAAUUCGAAGUGCCUCACAUCGUCCUAACGCCAAAUCCUUAUGGAAGUGACAAUGAGAGCAAGUAUUCUAUACUAGAUUGUGAAGCAUUAUUUGUCUCCAUUGACGAGCCACCUUACAAUGGCGAAACGAAAUCUCAAGAAGAAGGCCGUAACACCAGAAACAGAAACCGUGCAGAACGACGUCAACAGGAGCAAGCUGGCGCCCAACAGCAACCUGUCAAAAAUUCGAAUACAGUAGGUGACCAGCGCCAACAGUUGCGCCAUGAGCGUGAUAAUGCCGACAAGGGGGUGCUCGGGACAGGCGCAGGCACUCUGCGCAUGCCCGAAAUCUACUCGGUGACCUUGACCAAGCGGGCCCCAACAUUUUCACUACACCAACGUCCAACCUAGGGGCUGCUAUCGCCGAGCUAGAAAACCUUUCGGACUUGGACCAAGUCCGAUGAGCCAAAGCACGACUUCAAGCUGCCAACGCUCAAAUUGAGGCGCAAUUCAACGACCGACACUCUCGGUCCACAUCCUCUCGACAUUCUCGGAGCCGAUCUGGACACAGCAGAUCUGAUCGACGUCAAGGCAAACGUGCGGGUGGUCGGCUAGAUCUAAUUCGCAAAGAAAAGGUGGACCAAAACGUUGUCCAGCCUCCUAAGCCAAAGGCCAUCAACAAUGCAAACCCACUAGGCAACCCGGCUGCCAACAAUACCAAUCCGCCCGUUAACAACGCUCUUUAGCAAGACAACUAUGACAACCAACCGUGCGGUGGGAGAGGCAAUGAUGGAGACCAAGGUCGACCAGAACGCGAUCUUCGUGAUGAGCUACGUGAACUCCGUCAGAACCGUGACAUAUGCGCCGACCUAAACAAGCGCCACAACGAGCAGGAUGCAUAUGAGGUCCGUCGCCGCGCUGAGUAUGAUCAUGACUACGGCGCUCCUGUACCCAACCGCAACGCGAUGCGUGAUGACCAACAUCGACAGAAAGAUGAGAUGCGCCCUCGCGCUGACUACAACCGUGCAUAUGGUGCCCCCGGAGGCGCCCACAACCCGCCCAAGCACGAAUACAACUACGAAGACGACUACAACCUAUCCAAGCGCGACUGCGAUUAUGAAGAUGACUACUACCCGCCUAGACGCAACUACAGCGAAUGUGGCAGGCCAGCUCCCGACCAAUACUACUUUGACGAAGAUUACAAUGAUGACAUGGCAAUUGACGGCUUCGCUACUUUCACCCCACGCCAUCGAGCGGUUCAUUCGCCGCCCACUUUCAAACCAGCCAUCAACGAGAAAUAUGAUGGGCGCUCCGACCCCACCAUUUGGCUUAAGACAUACAACACCGUAGUAAAAGCAGCCAACGAUACUUCCUAGUGGUGAUGAGCGCCGCUCCACUUUUGUGGCUAGAGAAUCCUCCAAACAACAUCGACAGUUGGGGUUAGCUCACUAGAGCUUUCACUCAGAAUUAUCAGGCCACCUACAGCUGACCUGGCAUCAGGGAAAAACUCGGAGAAGUCCAUCAGUUGAUAGGUGAGCCAUUUCGAGAAUACGCCAAUCACGUUUUUGAGAACAACAACAGGCUGGGUGGCAUUGAUGACCGUGAUAUCAUUUGGUACUUUUGCAUUGGCUUGACAAACCAUAGGAUGUUCGAGAAGUUGUAUGAGGCAAAACUAAAGACGGUUGGACAGAUGAUAGAAGUUGUCAACGAUCAAGCUGACAUUGAGGAAGCAUCAAAAGUCCAAUGCCAAAGACACUCCCAGGCUGAUGAUUACAAUUAGCGAAUCCACGACAAGCCCCGAGCACAUCCAGACCACUGAUUUCGAAAAAGGGCCCCAGAGGUCUACGCUACUAAAGGUGACCUGACCAGGCAGAGCACCUUCAACCAAGAAGAAUUCGAUGAAACCCUCAGCGGACUGUGCCCUUUCCACUAGGACGCGAGUCAUACUUUGCGAGACUGCAUGGCUUUGAAAAAAGAGCUCAAUGCCCCAAUGGAAUAUAAACGACCUCGCCGAAAUGAAUACCGUCGGGAUAACAACAAGAGUGACUACCAUGGUCAUGAUGGUGACCGUCGCCGAGACAAUCAUGACAACCGCAAUGGUGAUGAACAUGACGAACACAACAGUAGACGCGAUGACCAUGACAACAGAGAAGAGCGAUGUGACCAGCUGCAGCAAGAUGCCCAACAGCCCAUCGCCGACCAAAAUGGAGAUUUGCAAUGGCCUAAACGCCAAGUCAACAUCAUUGUAGGUGGCCGCAAUGCCUUUUGCAGUAACCGCCAGAAGAAGCUACGACAUGAGAGGUCCACUUCAUCUCAGUAGAGCCAUCAAUACCUGCGAUGGUCCAAGCAGACCAUAACCUUCUCUAGGCAAGAUCAUUGGGUCCACAUCCCAAAUCCCGGGUCCUACAUGUUGGUGGUUUGCUCGAUCAUAGAUCGGGUCCUACUCCCAAAGGUGCUGAUUGAUGACGGUAGUGGCCUCAACAUCAUUUUGAUUGAGACAUUGAAGCGCAUGGAUUUUUCUUUCAAGCGGCUCCAGCCUUGCGAAGAACCCUUCUACGGCAUUGUUCCUGGAAAAGGAUCAUACACCAUUGUCCGAGUUGUUUUGGUGGUCACUUUUGGCACGCAGGCCAAUUACCGCACUGAGUACCUCACAUUUGAGGUGGCUAACUUCAAGACCUCCUACCAUGCUAUCUUCGGUAGGCCAAUGCUGCAAGGUUCAUGGAAAUUCCCCACUGUACCUACCUUGUCCUCAAGAUGUCAACUCCAAAUGGAGUCCUUUCUGUCUACGGUGAUGUGGAGACCUCAUACAAAUGCGACACAGAGGCAGUCCAACUCAUAGAGGCCCUGGAGUUAUCAGCAAUCACCACCGCCAUGGUCACCAAGGCCCCGAAGAUAAGCAUAGAUCAACUAACGAUUCCUGAAAAGGAGCUACCUCCACAGCAUUACAGCCCGACCCCAGGGUCAAGAAGAUUUGCCUCGGCCUUGAAGACCUGACCAAGACAACUCACACUCACUAGUUUUCUAUGGGACAACUCGGACAUAUUCGCAUGGAAGCCAUAAGAUAUGCUCGGUGUCCCAAGGGAGCUGGUUGAGCACUCCUUGGACUUGAGCAAGACUACGCGACCGGUCAAGCAGAAAUUGUGUCACUUCUCCCAAGAUCACAAGGAGGCCAUUAGGGUAGAAUUGAAUAAGCUCCUAGCUGUCGGAUUCAUCCGUGAAUGUAAACAUCUAGACUGGUUAGCAAAUCCAAUCCUUGUAAGAAUGAAAAUCGGUGAAUGGAGAAUGUGCAUUGAUUAUACCAACCUCAACAAGCACUGCCCUAAGGAUCCCUUCCCUCUACCAUGAAUGUACCAAGUCGUGGACUCUACUACGAGGAGCAUCCAACUUUGCUUCCUCACCUGCUACUCGGGCUAUCACUAGAUCACCCUAAACCCCGCCGACCAAGACAAGACUGCGUUCAUAACGCCCUUUAGCAUCUACUGCUAUAACACCAUGACCUUCGGGUUGAAAAACAGCGGGGGCCACUUACCAGAAGGCAAUCCAGGGUUGCCUCGCAACACAACUCAACAGAAACAUCGAGGCUUACAUCGACGAUUGUGUCAUCAUGACAAAGGAUCAAGAAAGCUUUAUAUCCGACCUUGAAGAGACUUUCAACACCCUUCAGGCUUAUCGCUGGAAACUCAACCCCAACAAGUGUGUCUUUGUUGUCCCGUUUGGAAAAAUCCUGAGGUUUAUGGUCAGCCAGCGAGGCAUUGAAGCUAAGCCAUCAAGGUGGAUGCAAUCAGAAAUAUGACAAAACCAUCCAACAAGAAAGACGUCAUGAAGCUAACUGGAAUGAUGGUGGCUCUUGAACCCAGCCAUGCCUACGUGGUGCAGCGACUAGUAUAUUAUGUCAGCGAAGUCCUCAACAACUCUAAGACAUGCUACACCCAGGUGUAGAAACUGCUCUAUGUAGUGUUAAUAUCUUCAAGAAACCUGUGUCACUACUUCCAGGAACACAAAAUCUAUGUGGUCUCCUCAUUCCCCAUCGGUGAAAUCCUGCAUAACAUGGAUGUCUACGACCGAGUUGUCAAGUGGUCUGUGAAGCUCAGCGAGUUUGAUCUUGAAUUCUACCUGCGUCUCACGAUCAAAUCGUAGAUUCUGACUGACUUCAUGGCAGAGUGGACGGAAAUCCAAAAGCUACCUUCCCUAGAAAGGCUGGAACACUAGACCAUGUACUUUGAUGGUGCCCUAAACCUUGAAGGAGCCGGCGCAUGAGUGCUCUUCAUAUCUUCCAGUACGUGCUCCAGAUCCACUACAAGGCUACCAACAACGGACUCCGCAUAGUUGUUUCCCUUGGAAUUAAGCGCAUACUCGCUUAUGGCGAUUCAAAGGUAGUGAUCAAGCAAGUGAACAAGAACUGGAACUACACUAAGGACUCCAUGGAUGCCUACUGUGUAGAAAUCCGCAAGCAUGAGGCCCACUUUGAUGGCCUCGAGUUCCAUCAUUUCCCUAGGGACCACAACAUUGCCGCUGACGUCUUGUCCAAGCUUGGGUCCAAGCACGCACAGGUGCCCACUGGCGUAUUCGUUCAGGACCUCCGGAAACCUUCUAUCAAAAUCCUAGAUCCCGACCAGGCUAGUGGUGUUAGUGGUUAGGCUCCAGCCGACCUAAAAUUCGCUGAAGUCAUGAUGGUUGAGGUAGAAGAAGAUUGUCACGCCCCGUUCAUAGCCUUAAUCACCGACUAGAUGGCACCACAGGAUAAGGUAGAGCAUGAAAAAUUAGCUCGGUGUAGUGAAAAUUACGUCAUCAUUGGAAAAGAACUCUACAAAAAAGCCGCAUCUACAGGGAUACUGAUGAAGUGCAUUCUACGCAGCGAAGGCAUCGUGUUGCUACAUGAAAUUCACUUGGGGACAUGCGGCAACCAUGCCUCCUCGGGCACUUUAGUCGGUAAGGCUUUCCGCUCUAGUUUCUACUAGCCCACAGCAGUAGCCGAUGCAAAGGAACUCAUCCAACGAUGCAAAGGAUGUCAAUUUUUCUCCAAGCAGCAGCAUCUUCCAGCUCAGGCACUAUGCACCAUCCCUCCAUCAUGGCCUUUCGCAUGCUGAGGGCUGGACAUGGUCGGACCUUUCAAAACCGCCCCAGGUGGCUACACACACAUCUUUGUGGCAGUUGACAAGUUUAAAAAAUGGACCGAGGUGAAGCCAGUCACCAGCAUCGAAUUGACUAAAGCAGCUCAAUUCGUGGAAGAAAUCAUGCAUCAUUUUGGAGUGCCUAACAGAAUCAUAACCAACCUAGGCGCAUAGUUCACAGGCGCCAAGUUCUGGGAUUUUUGCCAAGAUAAUCUCGUUGACGUGUACUACUUUUCAGUAGCACAUCCACGCUGCAAUGGCCAAGUAGAACGUGCAAAUGGGAUGGUCCUCCAGUCCCUCAACUCGCGCAUCUUCGACGACGCUUCCAAAUACGCCACCAAAUGGCUACGUGAGCUCCCCCAAUGUCAUCUGGUGUUUGAGAACACAUAAAAGUCAUGCUACUAGCUAUACUCUAUUCUUCAUGGUAUACGGCUCAAAAGCUAUCCUGCCAUCAGAUGUGGCCUUUGGUGCCCCACACAUUCAAUACUAUGAUGACGGUGAGGCAGAAAGUAGUCGGCAAGUCAAUAUUGAUAGUCUCGAAGAACAUCGUGUGGCAACUCUCCUAGAGCAUGCACGCCAUGAGUAGCAGAUACAGCGUUAUCAUGACCGCAAUGUCAAGGAAUGGUCCUUCAAUGUUGGUGACCUGGUGCUUCGUCGGGUACAGUCCUCCAAGGACAUGCACAAAUUGGCCGCCCCUUAGGAGGGCCCCUUCAUCAUCAAAUAGGUCAUCCAACCAAGCACUUACCAACUACAAUGGGCAGAUUCAUCUAGCAUCCCCAACCCAUGGAACAUUGAGCAUCUAUGAACAUUCUACCCUUAGAAUAUACAACUAUUUACUCUAUAUCUCCUUUCUCCAUAUUAAAUAAGUAAAUACCCCUAUCGGUUCCUUUCUGCAUACCUACUGCCUUACCGCUUUUCCUUCCCGAGCUAUGUUUUAAUGCUUGGGGGCUGCCCGACCUGCUCAACAGCCCACUCGUUCACAAACUCGGGGGCUUCCCCACUGAUCUCUGGGUCAUACCGCCCCCCCCCCCGCCCCACGGCUAUACAACUAACACGUGUGGUCAGCGUCCUAUCUAGCAAAACAUAGACAACCUUCCAUUCACCCAUCCUACAAGGUCGAGAUCUGCUCUCAACAGGACACUAGUCACGCAAGGCUAGGAGCUUAGUGGCUACAGGCCUAAGCUACACGUUGUCAUGUCGUAUACGCCAAGGGAGGGAUGGAACUCUUGUUCUUUCAUUAAAACAUAAAUAAGAUGCAUUUCAUUCAGCAUGGCACAAAAGUAGUUUAAUACAUCUCAUCAGUUUUCUACAGGUCAAGCUCAUUUAAAAUUAUGUCCGCCACAUCAUGGUAUUGCUCAAUGAACUCAGAGAUCUUGGUCUCAUCAAAGUCAGUGGCGAUCCCAGUAGCAGCACGCUCCAGGGCAGUAGUCGGGAAGUGCGAGUGCAGCAGUGCGAAUGCGUUCUUUACACAUUCGAGGGCGGUAUCCUUCAAUAAGCUCUUCAACUGACCUGGUGCAGCUUUAAUGCAGUCCAACAGAGGCGUCGGUCUGGCUGCAUCGACGUCCUUCUUGAUCAUGUCCAUCAGAUACCCAGCCGACUUUCGAAGAUCCUCCAACUCCAACUCCAACUCCAAGCCUGCAAUCACGCGCUGGUCAUUCUGGAGGUUACCUACAGCCUCCUCUAGGCUGUGCUCGAGAUCCCUGCGCCUGUUGGCCUCAUAGGCUAGCUUCUGGGACACUGCAAACUCAUGGUUGACUACAGCAUCAUGUUGUUCUUGGAGGCGCAAGUUGGCGUCCUCACAUUCUUUGACAUCCUACUGCAGUCUCACCACUAGUCGCUUGGAAUCUGCUCAGCCGACCAAAUCUGCAUCAGCACAAUGACAUUGGAGAUAAACCACAACCUCACAUGUCGGUAAAACUCACCUACCAGCUUCGAGCUGAUGAACUCGCGCUCUCUAGCAAAGCUAACCUCGAGGUGUGCCUUGGCGGCCUCACUCUCCCUAAGGCUCCAUUGCAGCCUAGUCACUUGCACUGCGGAAUCUACAAGACCAGCAAAAGAUUGCAUCAGUGUAAAAAUCGCAAAAACAAGUCUACUAAGGGCAAGUCAGCCGACUGUACCUCUCAGGAGCCCAUCUUGAGUUGUAUUCUCGACCUCUCGCCACGCCUACUACCUUUGGAGUUCCUAUUUUGCCUGCUCAAGUUCGGUCUCUAGUGGUGCCUUAGACCGAAAGCAAUCACAAUGGAAGACCAUUUCCUUCCUCUUCUGAGCAUGUUCAGCUAGCCCUUGCAAAAUACAUACAAUCAAAACUCCACAGAAGAAAUUGAAUUUCAAUCACAGAGCCAACAGACUAGUCGGUACACUUAUGCGAAGAUACUCGUUAAUCUUGUCUCCUGCUUCAUGCAUCCCGUCAAGAGUCUCCCUAUCCCUCACUUCAUCCUCUUCAACCUCAGCAUCGGUAUAAGGGAUGGUGGCGGGGUCACUCGCCUGACAUGAAGGGGGCACAUUGGGCAGCACAUCAUCCCUGGGUGGAUCAUCCUGUUGAUGAUUAGCCUCGACGCCCUCCUCAACCUCAUCCUCUACCACCAUGUCUUCUGGCGCCGCAUGCCCGACCUCAGCAUCUUGCGGUAUCGUGUCCUCCACAUUGGUGUCCUCCUGGGUUGCUCACCUGACCUCAGCGUCUGCCUGGGUCGCGUCCUUGAGACUAGCGUCCCUUUGGGUUGCUCGCCCGACCUCUGCACCCUUCACACUGGCGACCUCCUGAGCUGCAUCCCCGACUUGGACGCCACCCUCAAUUGCGCCCUGGAUGUCGGCCUCCUCCUCUAUCUCCCUUACAAUCCUAAGGCCGGCCAUGCAGUCGUCAAUGGCUUUAGCACUAUCUUCAACUUGUUGAGGUGCAUAGCUUGGUGCAACCUCCUCAACCAUAACACCACCACUAGUCCCGACCUCUAUAGUUGGUGGCUGCUCGGCGGCGUGACAGCUGGUGGCUUCAGCCUGAAUCGAGCAUUUUUCUAGAUUGGCGCUGCCAUCGUCAGAUCAGAUGCCAGCUCAGUAUCAUAACCACACCAAGCAAAACAACCAAGAAAUCAGACUACUGCCACAAGCGGAGAAAACAUAAGAGAAGAUGGCGGCACUUACAGAGUACUCUUCUUGAACAGACUUAUUUUUGGGCGCAGCUUUUGUGGUGGACCAGGCGCAUUGUCACCGGAGCUGUCCCGCAUCCUCUCCUUCAGCGCCUCCUUGAGGUGCGCCGCGUCAGUAGUGGUGGUUCCCCUGAGCUUCGGCUCCCCGCCCCGUGUAGCUAGGCUUGGCGUGCUGGAUCCCGCCUUGCUGCCCGUCCCGAUAGUAGCAAUAGUAGUCGGCACGGCCUUCUUCCGACCAGCCAACUUCUUCUUCUUCUCGGCUAGCUGAGAGGCCAUGGAAAGGGGCUGCUUGCGAGUUGCCUACCAGGCCCCCCGACUAGCACCUCGGUCCUCACCAGCUGCACUAACAGUAGGCCCAAGAGAGGACUCUGACUCAAACGCAAGGCUCGGUAGCAGCGCAACCUGAACAUCAAUUGGUGUGACCUUGGGUAGCAUCGCCUGGGUCCUGCCAGGCAACGGAGGAGGGCAGAAAUAUAUACAAGGAUCACUUUAAAUCAAAACAUGACUUCAAAUCAAACAGGUCGCAAAUCAAGUGUGCAUUACAUCUAAGCAAAAAUGAACGCAGACUCACCAGGGUAGGUGACGAAUUCCUUAGGGAGAAGGCCUUGGGGGCUCCCGUGUUAUGGAACUCGCUCUUGAACAACCCGGGUAAUCGGCAAAAAAAAUCUCUUCAACGAUCACCUCGCCAGCAACCUUCCAAGUUGGAUCACUAAGCCCCGAGUACUCGAACGAUGGAUGUACUCGGUUUUUUAUCGACUAAGUGGCCCUCUGACAGAAGUUGAUCCCAAUCGCCAUGGGCGUCAACCCUCACGCCUUGAGGUCGGCGAUCCUUGACAGCAGCUCGUUUACUUGGACUUGCUCCGCCGGGGUCGGUAGAUCCUGACACUUGGAUACCAACACAGGACCAAACCCAAUGCGCAGUGGCAACUCGAGCUUUUAAUUAGCAAUCAGAAACCACUCUGUGUGCCACCCCUUGUGGGACUCCUUCAACUGAAGGUUAAAAUACUCAUGCAUCCUCUUCGGAUGCAAAGAAAAUCCGGCCCCACCUAUGACCCUAUCCUUCCUGCCUUAAGUUGAUACAACAAAUAUCACCACAGAUUGAAGUGGGAGAAGGAUGCCUAAAUAUGCCUCGCACAAAUGAAUAAAAAUAUCAAUGUCUAAGAUCGAGUUAGGAUAGAGGUGUACCAACUCGAUCUUGUAGUAGUGAAGGAGCCCACGGAAGAAAUCUCUAGUCGGGAUUCCGAACCUGUACUCAAAGAACGGGGUGAAGACCACCACUUGCUCCGUGUCCUCGGAUAGAAACCCCUGACCGGCGGUGGUCUACCACUCCAACAGCUCCUGCGGACCAAGGAGCCCGCGGUUGAUGAAGGCUUGGAUCCUCUCUUGCGUCAUCACGCUCUUCAUCCACACGGAGGAAGGAUUCAGAGCAUUGCACUUCGCUAUUGCUUUGCGAGCUUGCGGAGUAGAUCUAAAAUGCACUAGGGUUUUGUAGCUCAUAAAAGUUGCGCAACAACUUGGGCGGUGGCAGCACAGCAACCUAGGCGAUGGUGGCGGCGCGCAUGCGAAGAAGAUUCAGGGACACGGCGAUGCAACCUAGGGUUUGCGAAUGCAAUGGCGGAGCGCUCAGUGAGCUUUGGACGGCGAUGUUGCGAGAGGUUGAAGAUGUGAAUGGCAACGGUCGCGCGACCCUUGUGCUUUUAAAGGAGAUAAUGGCGUCAUUCACAGACGGAAACCGUGGGCCCUCCGUUAAUGCUGCAUAAACGUGCUGGAUGAAAAAUACGAACCCGUCUGUUACCGCGCACCUAAUGGAUUUUUCGGGAUAGUGCCUCCGUGGCCUUGUCAUUCCCCAACCUCAGGGUCAAAUACCGAAUGACCUCGAAUUUUUUUUAAGAAAAAUUUGUUGAAGAACUAAAACACCUCUAUGCAGCACCAACACGGUCCGCCGACGGCUUGUGCUCAGAAUUGCUUUGUGGGCUGGUGCUCGGAAACAACAGCCUACCUAGUAGUCCCAAACUGAUGGGCUAGGCUAUUACCCUUCCGAGUCCGAUCGAUGGAUGGAGGGAUCCUCCAGCCCAGUAUAAAACCAAUAUGCAAAGACCAACCUAGCCCAGAGUCACAGGCACAGAAGCGCAUGGAGAGCUCAAGCCAUGUCGUAGGCUCAGAUUGCUCUGGAAGCUUCCCAGCACGCAUCUCGUAAGCUCAACACACUUCACUGGCUCCAACUUCAGUUCCGUUCCGAACGCAUGAAUCAAUUGAAUUUCAUGUUCAUGUAUUUUUUUGGGCAAAACCAAGUAGAUCAAGCAGCUAAUCCUGCUCGAUUCCCUCGGUCGGAAUACCUUGCAAGAAUCUGAAAUGUGGCUAGGAUGUCGAUUCCGGACAAGAGAAUAACCUUCGUUCAUAUGUAUGUAGGGUGCCAUUUUUAUUCAUGAAUCCCUAUGCAAUUAUAAAAAACAAAUAUGCAAACAAAAGUUACUCAUGAAUAACGGAAUUUUAGCUUCAUGCAUGAAUAAAAGUAUCUAAUUUUUUGUGCUUAUGAAGCGAUAAUUUUAAUCUUUCUUAGAUCAUCACACACUGCGAUACAUAUAUUCUGCACAACAAAUACAUAGGUCCUCCCACGCUACCUUGUCCACGCACCACGAAAAGUUCAUGCUCGUGCAUGUGAAAUUAAAUGGGGACAACCAACUAUAUGACGCCACCUCACAUCUCAACACAUCCACCAGAAAGCAUGCAUAUAAGGAAUCUUUUCUUGAUUCGAAACUAAACGCGAUAUCUCCUAAACCGCAAAUUCAAUUUUAGAUCCGUUUGAAGUAGUUGGUUAGAAAAAGUGUGCCUAACAAAAUGAGAUCCAUGAAGAUUAUAUUUGAUGAAAUUUUAAUUAAAGUAUGUAAUUGCAACUAUGUUGUACUGCGAUUUGCAAGCAUGUCCACAACACAAUUGCAACUUGGUUGCAGCCUAUUUAGCACUGGUUGUAACUCGUUAUAAUCUAGUGUCGCCCAAUUACUUCUGGUUGCAGUUAGUUACUACUCAAUUACAACCCGAUUACUACUCUGAUUGCAACCAGAUAUGCUUGCAACUCCUACCGAAUAGAAUUGCAAUCUAUUAUUACUCAAUUGCAGUUAGCUAUUACUUACUUGCAAACCGGUUGGUAGUUGGACACAGCUGCAACACAAUUGCACAUCGGUUUUAGCAUAGUUACCACUAGUUGUAAACCAGUUACAACCUAGUUGUUAUCCUAUUAGUACUAGUUGCAACAAGUUAUUAUACAGUUGCAACCUCAGUUGGUACUUAUUGCAAGUCGUUAUUACACAAUUGUUGCUGGUUGCAACCAGUUACUACCUUUUGCAACCUAGUUACUACGUAGUUGCAACAGUUGCUAAUCUGGUUGCAACCAGAUAUGAUUCCAACUCAGAAUUGCAACUUGAUGUGAUUAUACUGACCAGAUGUAAAUAAUACACAGAGUUAUAACUAGUUGCAACUCGUUAGUAGAUAGAGUUGUAAUUGGUACUACACAGAGAUGCAAAUUGCAAAAAUAAUAUAAAAUAUAUUCAUAACAGAUCUAGUUUUGCAAAGCACAUUUUUUUGAGUAAGAUGCAACAAACGGUUUGUCAAUCAGGUUUAAAAAUAAUAUAAAAUAUAUUCAUAACAGAUCUAGUUUUGCAAAGCACAUUUUUUUGAGUAAGAUGCAACAAACGGUUUGUCAAUCAGGUUUACGGUUUAGGAGAAAAUUUGUUUCAAAGAUUCGAAACAACAAAAAUUUUCAUGCAUGCUGGCUGCUGGUUAUUGCACGUGACUAACUUUGAGAAGUGGGAAGAAGAAAAUUAGCUAGUGGUUGUCUCAUGAGAGCGGAGGAUGCACCCAAGUGCAUAAUAGACGUAUAGUAUGUAUCUGUGUAUACACACGGAGUAUACCCUGUAGCCAGGCCACCUGGUGCAACACGAUUGGCCACCACGGCUCCCAGCAAUUCGAUCCGGCCUGUACGCGAGCCCACCAAGCGAGCGAGCCGAGCAUCAGGAGCCGAAGGUCAUUAUGCUAAUCAAUGUUAGGGUAAUUGUUAUGUAAUCAAGGUGAGGACAAAACUUCCGAUCUGGUUGAUAUGGCAAUCAGAUUCUGAUCCGUAUGGUCAAAAUACAAGCUACGACCUAGUAAUUAAUUCACGUUGAUUCGUUCAUUAUGUUUUUUUUGGGGAAUUCGACUUCACGAUUGCAUGCAAGUGGACGGGUUACUGGAAUAUAUGAACACGGUUUGUACGUGUUUUUUCUUUUUUCACGAGGCAUGUGCAAGUGUUACGAGAAUACAAGCUAGAGCUCGAGUGUGCAUGCGUGACGCGCAUAACUACAGAAGCACUAGUUCAUGCAAACUAUGGUAAAUACUGAGAAGUGACCACACAGGUGUACCGUCAUGGUGUACUGAGAAACCAGUUACCAAAAAGCCAUGACAACUUUACCAUGUACUCGAGUUGAUAAUUAGAACAGAGAGUUACCACAAUCCAACAUUAAGCUGUUCCAAGGAACAAAUUACUAAAUAAUGAAACAAAUUUACCGAAAAACAGUUUCGGUAAUUCGUAUGGUUGAAGACAAUAAUUAUGAUCCGGAGUUACCACAAUUUGGUUCACAAUAUGUCCAUAUAAUUGCAUGAAUCCCAUAGCACUGUAGUAUACAGUAAAAUGGAGCAGCACAUUUUGGAGGAAAUACAUUCAGAGAAUAUGUCCAUAUAGUAAUAUGAAACGACCAUUUACUAUAUUUUUCACAGUAAUUGGUAGCUCUGGAGAUAUCAUUUUGCUCAUGUUGGGAUUGCAAGGUCCUUCUAGAACAGAACUGUCGAACAAAUGAAUUUUCCAUCUGAAAGGAUGAAAAAUAAAAAAUGUUGCUCUGAAUAAGUGAGGACUUCAUAACAAAAGAAAACCAUACUCGCCGGCUCCCACGAAUGAAACAGGCUGGGAUUAUGAAACUAAGAGCAGGUUACCAUAUCUAUGAGAAUGCAAAGAAAACCAUACUCCAAGCAAACAUAUCACAAGCUAACUGGCACCACUAGUGGUAGAUAACUUUCCUCCUACAAAUCUGAAAAAUCAAACGAAUUUAAGGCUCUGCAACAGAAACAGAGCUUGACACCUUGCUGGCAGCAUCUAUGACAUGCAAGAUCAAGAACCUGUAAAGGAACUGUUUUUUCUCCACUGUGAAAUCCAAUAAGCACAUGUCGCUAGCUAAUCAGAUUUUUCACAAACAAAAAAAGGCUAAAGAUAUUCAUCCGAACUGGAUUCAUGAGCGUCUGAGAAAAGACCUGCAGGAUGAAUAGAGAAGCUCAGACCUGUAUGACACAGCAUCUCAAUCUCAUAUUUUCAUAUCUAGCUCCGAUUUGAACCGUUUUCUUGCUCCCUCUGCUGAUCUGCACAAACCACAGAAAAACGAACAGCGAUGCUCAGCCUGCGCGGGUCUUCAGAUUCGUUGGGGCAUUUACUCAAACACAGAGUGUGCACCAGCAUCACACGGUUCGCACCCGUAGUUAAUCUGCAAAAGAAUACAUACACAACACGCAAGAAUCGUGAGAUUACCUGGACAAAGAAGUCCAGCAUCAAAUCCUCGCACGCCGAGAUCCACGUGUACCAGCUCCCUGGGAAGUGGGAACCACAGCUUGAGCUACACCACGAACCGGCUGGGAAGUUCUGCCUCUGCCGCGCUCCAUGGCGACCAUCGCGAGGAGAAUGGGAGGUAGUGGCAGAGGCGCCGCAGAGCCACCAUGACGACGUCGCGCCGCCGCUCGCCGGGCCACCGUUGCUCCCACGGACGGGAAUCGCCGCCACUGCCCCGCGGGGGGGGGGGGGGGGGGGGGUGUUUUGUGCGCAGCCGAGCGGGCGAACGUGGUUUGGUGGGACUGGGAUGCUGGUUGCUGGGUCUGUUGGGUCCGGCUACAGAAUAACUCGCCACAAAUAAGCAGCUCUCUCUCUAUCUUUACCUUUACCUAUUAUUAAAUAAAUAAAUAAAGCAUAUUUUUUUUUGAAAGCUUGGGUGGCUCUAUGGCCUUUCAUUACCAUCACCGGAUUCCGCUAAAUCGCGGAUCACCGGCAGAUUUACAGAUUCGGGAAGAGGGCCAGUCCAUAUGCAUGACUGUUCCGAACCCCAAAAUAAACCCAGUCUUGCAAGCUCGUGCGCAGACGAGUUAGUACAACGUGGAAUAAGAGAAACAGCUAAACACACAAACUCAUUAGCUAACAGGUUUCGGAUAUCCCUGAAAAUCACUCCACAGUGGCCACGAUCAUGAGUAUCACAUGUAAUAGCUUCCUUUAGAACACUUGAGUCAACCUCCAGCUGCACAUGGGAGAUGCCAUACAAUUCUGUUGUUUCCAAAGCUUUGAGACAGCCAACCGCUUCCGCCAUUAACGCAUCAUGAAGCAGACUAGCGUUGCCUGCACCUGCCAGCACGUGUGCACCUGUGUAAUCUCUAAUAAUGAAGCCCCAGUCGUCAUGCUUAGUUGCCUUCACAAAAGCUCCAUCAGUAUUGAUUUUCAGGACACCUUGGGGAGGUCUGAGCCAUCUCUGUUGUAGCCUAGCAGUCGGUCUGAUUUUUAUUGUUGGCAAUUCCAGCAGCCCCGCCAUCUCUAAGACUGAAUGACAAACAUUUUGUAUAUUUUGAAUUGGAUCUCCAGCAUUUACCUUGUUUCUUACAUCCCACCACUUCCACAGCAAGAGGCUAACCUUACAUGCCAAGCUUUGUUCAAGUUGCAGCACAUUCCAAAUAAAAUCCUUCGAUGAUUUGGCCGACAGCAAAGCAAGGUGUGUUUGUUCCAUUUCCAAAAGACGCCAACAUCUCUUUAUUAGCUUGCAUUUUAGAAAACAGUGACCCCCAUCCUCAUCAAAACGCAUGCACACCGGACAUCUCGUGUCAAGAAUAACCCCUCUCCGUUUGAUGUUUUGCUUCAGUGGUAGGCUGUUAUGAGCCAGGCGCCAAAUAAAAUGAUGUACCUUUGGAGGACAUGGCAGCUUCCACAAUUUCUUCCACUUUUGUGCUUCGUGGUCUCCCUCCCGACAGCACACGCUACUUUCUCCUUGCGGUACUGCCGCUGGCGUAUUAAAGCAAGUAACGUCUCUGCCUGGCUUUUCGUACAUCGUGGUCAUUUUGCAAAAAAACCUCUGAUAUUUUAUGAAAUCAACCCUCAGUCCAAUUAUUAUGAAGAGAUUGGGGGUCGGAUGGAAAAAAGAGGAAAGGGAGGGGGUUAAAGGGGAGAGUUCUUCUCUUUCUUCGAAACAUACAGCCAAAGGAGCGGAUUGCGCGUGGGCGGUGGCCGGAGUGUCGCGUCGCGACCUCCGCUCCCGUCUCCGCCUCCCCCCUCCAUCCCCUUCCGCCGCCCAGCUUGUGGGAGCUCCCAAUUCAUGGGAGGAGGUUCCGCACGCUACCCCUUCCACCCACCCCGCCUGCGCCACCCACGGAUCAGCGUCGUCGCCGAUCGAAGGGGAUUGGGCGCCCGGCGGCCGGAGCGGGGAGCCCGCCGCUGCCCCGCGCUGCUCGGCGGCGAGGUUGGCCGGGCUCUUGGCGGACGACUCCCACCAUCUGUGGAACGACAGCCUCACCUGCACGGCGCUCGAGCUGUCGCCGCCGCCGCCCGAGCGGUCUCUCCAGGUUUUCCGGCGGCGAUGGCGGGCAAGGGAGGUAAGGAUCUGCUGGCGGCGAAGACGACGGCGGCGAAGAGCACCGACAAGGAUAAGGACAAGAUGAAGGCUCCCGUCUCCCGCUCCUCCCGCGCCGGCCUCCAGGUUCUCUUCCCCUUCUUCGUCUGUCUUUUGGAUUCGUCACCCGCGAAUUAGUCAGAUAUGUGGUUUCUCCCUGCGAAUUUCAGAUGCGCAACUUCAAAUUUCGCACUAAAAUUUCCCCUGUGUUUGUUGCAGUUCCCGGUAUGCCGCAUCCACCGCCAGCUCAAGUCCCGCGCCUCCGCCCACGGCCGCGUCGGCGCCACCGCCGUCGUGUACUCCGCCGCAAUCCUGGAGUACCUGACCGCGGAGGUCCUGGAGCUGGCCGGCAACGCCAUCAAGGAUCUCAAGGUCAAGCGCAUCACCCCGCGCCACCUCCAGUUUAUUUGUACUAACCUUGAUGUGCAACACAUCUCCCUGAUUUUCUUUUUCAUUGAUCCCCCAAAGAGCUCACCACACCUGCUACUUGCAUUUCUGAUCCAGUUACGUCAUCCUUGCAGUGGUGCUAUGUCCUCUAAGUGUCACAGAUGGCUGGCUCUCAGAAUUCAGCAAAUUCUGUCCUUCCUUGAGGGUCCUGCAGUAUGUUGGCGAUAAGGUGCACCGUCGUGACCUCCGGAGAACCUUGUUUGAACUUGUGCAGAGAGCUUCCACAUCAUCUCACUCUAAUGUACGCUAUUCUGUCUUUUCUGGGUUCAAUCUUCUAUAGGUGUAUGUGUAUCCCAUCAAUACUUGCGACAUCUUUUUUUCUUUUCUGCACGUAACAGGAAUUAUCAUUUGAUGUGCUCAUGAAAACAUAUGACAUAGCCUUGAUGGAUCAAGAUUUUCUUUCACAAGAUUUUCUUUCACAAAUUCCCUGGCACUAUGCAAUUAUUGAUGAGGCCCAACGUCUAAAAAAUCCAUCCAGUGUAAGUGGCCAUUUUAUUUAUGUAGUUCUUUUGAAUUCAGGGUUUGACUGGUUCCUUACCGUUACUGCUGCUUUUGCCACCAAGCACCUCUUGGUACUACUGCUAAGCCACACAUGAUGUACCUCCCCUCGUAUUUGUGCAUUAUGUGAUGUUUUCAGUUUUGAUUCAGUAGCACGGAAGCUCAGACUUUCAGUACUGUUUGGGAAAACAAACAUCUCCACUUUCGAGCACUGUAUUGGUAGAGCAUAAUGACAGAGGUAAAUUGGGCACUGUGACUAAGAGAAAACUAAAGAAUAGCUAUGACUUGGUGGCACCAAGUGGAAAUAUUCAUAUUUCACUAGCAGUUUGUGGACUUCAGGUUCAGCUGAUUAGUUACAACCUGUGUUGAGCUUGAGAGGGCUGCAACCAUAAAAUUGCUCAAAAAACAACCCCAUCAAUUUCCAUUACUUGUAACGAGAAUAUCAGAGUUUAGUUACAUUGCCAGAUAAAGGAAACUGAGGAAAGAGCAGACACCCCCUAGGAGUUCUAACCUGAUUCAAGCUAAAAUCCUAGGUGCAAUUCUGCAUUUUUAUUGGUUCGUUGAGCUUAUAAUCCAAGCAUUAGUGUUAAAAGGAAUUAGAUUAAUAGGUGUGCAUGUGUCAAACACUCAAAUGCUAUAUGUUACACCCUUUUCCUUUUCUCCUUUUGGUUACGAUCAAUUAAAAUACACAUAUAUUUUGUAACAAACCUUCCAAGUUUAACUCAGAAAGUUCUUUGCCAGGUACUGUAUAAUGUCCUUGAGCAACGCUUCAUCAUGCCAAGACGUCUACUACUAACAGGCACUCCUAUCCAGAACAACCUUUCUGAAUUAUGGGCGUUGAUGCACUUUUGUUUGCCUUCAAUAUUUGGAAAGCUAGAUGAGUUCCUUUCCACCUUCAAGGAAGCAGGGGACUCAUUAACAGGUAUUACUUUCAAAUUCUAGAGGGGCGCAUUUUAGCAUUGUUAAAUGUAUAUGUACUGUUGGUGAUUUACCUUUUCUAUUAGGGGGUUUUCUGUAUAUUUUCCCCUUCUUGUACCUGUAUAUAUAUGGGCCUAGAGCCCCUGUUAUGAAUACAAGUGCUAUUCCUAACAUGGUAUUAGAGCCGAACUAGGGUUAGAUUUCUUCCCAAUCUGCCUUAGGGUUCCUUUUUUUCCCGCACGUUGCACUUGCGUGCUCUUCUUCUUCAUCAGCUCCGGCCGCCGCCUGUCUGGCUCUCCACCCGCGGGACUCAGUCAAAUAUUUAAAAAACAGUGAGGUAAACUUAUCACUAUUGAAUAUGGAAUUAACUAUUCCUAAUUAAAAUUAUAGCAUUGUAUAAAAAUAAUUAACAUGAAGACGUACAUUAAUUUCCUGCUGAAAGUUUUAAUUUUGGCCAAAUACAUUGCAUUAGUAUCCAUGUUCAAAUAGUGCUCAAUAAUUUAUUCUGAUGCAAUUAUAUACCUGACUUAGCAUUAGCAAAUAUGUUGCUCGUUAUAACAUUUGGACUGCGGAUGCACCAAUUUAUCAAGUUAUUGCACUAAAUUGAACAUUUACAAGUUGUUGGGCCAAUCUACACCCACCUAUCAAGUUAUUGUAUUAGAUUGAACAUUUUACAAGUUGUUGGACUAAUCCGCACCCACCUAUCAAGUUAUUGUAUUAGAUUGAGCAUUCUACAAGUUGUUGGACUAAUUUGCACCCACCUAACAAGUUGUUGUAUAGUGGGCACAAUUUACUCAAUAAAAAAUAUCCAUUGCAGAAUUUUAGAGUUCCUGCAUGAAUAAAAAUGUCCACUGCGCAAUUUACUCAAUUUACUGCAGUAACACCAAUUUGCACCCACCUAACAAGUUGUUGUAUAGUGGGCGCAAUUUACUCAAUAAAAAAUAUCCACUGCAGAAUUUUAGAGUUCCUGCAUGAAUAAAAAUAUCCACUGCGCAAUUUACUCAAUUUACUACAGUAACAUUUGAAAUAAUAGGGUCAUCAUGAAAGGAACAGCAGUAAAUAAUAUAAUAACUUUACAAAGCUUUCUUAAUACUGAGAAAUCUGUAGGAAUAUAUACUCCAAGCAAACAUAUCACUAGCUAACUGACACCACUAGUGGUAGAUAACUUUCCUCCUACAAAUCUGAAAAAUCAUACGAAUUUAAGGCUCUGCAACAGAAACAGAGCUUGACACCUUGCUGGCAGCAUCUAUGAAAUGCAAGAUCAAGAACCUGUAAAAGAAAUGUUUUUUCUCCACUGUGAAAUCCAAUAAGCACAUGUCGCUAGCUAAUCAGAUUUUUCACAAACAAAAAAAGGCUAAAGAUAUUCAUGGCGACCGUCGCGAGGAGAAUGGGAGGUAGUGGCAGAGGCGCCGCAAAGCCAUCAUGAUGUCGAGCCGCCGCCAGCUGAGCCGAUCGAGAUGAGUGCUUCAAGCCGAACGGGCAAACGUGGUUUCGUGGGACUGGGAUGCUGGUUGCGUGGGUAUGUUGGGUCCAGCUAUAGAAUAACUGGGCCCUCGAAUCUCACUCAAUGGAUCGGGCCAUCCCCAAAUUGCGUCCGUUCCCCCGUUGACCAUCAGAAAAUUCCCGAGUCCUCGUCGCCUCCUUUCUUUGUAGCCAGAAGCACCGCUUCCCCACCGCCCCCUGCCACCGCCGAUCCCCUCGCAGCCACCUUAAUCGGCGAUUGAUCCACAUCCUAUUCGCCUGCUCGCAUCAAUCAACGCCAGUUUUGUUUGUCAGGCCGCACUCUGAUGGUGGAAGGAGGCGGGCUGAUGCACCAGUAUGCGUUGUUACAAUUCCAUAUUUGAUUCAAAGAAAACUCGGGUCCCUAUUUGAUUUGAUCUUCCAAUUGAUUCAUUUGUUUCCAAUCCUAAUUUAUUAGUCUGGUAAAUUAAUUACAUAAUAGUGUCUGGUAACUACCAUUGUCAUCAACUGAUGACGCUACACUUGUAAAGACCUCUACACUUGUAAAGACCUCUGGUAAAUUCAUGACACUAUUUUUUAAAUACCUUUUUGGUAAGUUGAUGACGCUAUACUUUGUGGUAAAUUGAUGACGUUAUUCUAGUAAGUACCUUGUGGUAAAUUGAUGACACAAUUGUGAAAAUAUUAUCGUCUGGUGUCAUUCGACUUUCUUGUAAAUUUGUUCCAUCUUGUGGUACUUGGUUUAUCAGAACCGCUUGAUGCUAAUUGUGGUUAUUCCCAUCUCAAUUAUUGUCUAGAUUCAUGGGAUUUGUCCAUAACUAAUUCAUGGUAAAUGGUUCCACGAAUUCACUAUAGUAACUGGUUCAUCAGACUAACUAUAAAAUUAUGGUAACUCAGCCUUAUUAUCAUAUCAAGAAAUUCAAAUUCUCAUAAACAUUUUUUUGGUAAAUUUGACUCACCAAUAUAGUAACUUAUCCUAAUUAUCAUCUCAAGCAAUUCUAAUUCUCGCAAGUAUUUUUUUGCGGGAUCUCGUAAGUAUUUUUUUGCGGGAUCUCGUAAGUAUUUAUUGGUAAUCAUCUCAAGCAAUUCUAAUUCUCAUAAGUAUUUUUUUGCGGGAUCUCGUAAGUAUUUAUUGGUAAAUUUGACUCGCUAAUAUAGUAACUGGUUCCUCAAAACAGUUUGGCGUGAAAUUGUGGUAACUACUCCCUUUUAAAAUGAAAUUGUGGUAACUAUUGUAGCUACGAGCUUUUUAUAUCAAAUUAACAAACGUAAAUAUACAUGUACGCUACACUUGCUUUCUCGUAAUCCAUAUAUUCUACACUUGCAAGCUGAUAUGGACGCGGAUAACGAGUCAACCACCUACAUGCACAGGGCUUUGGCGCUGCCUGGAAAUUACCGGAAACUACCUACAUGCAUAUGUGUGAUGUGUCGUGCUAAUGAUGGAUACGAAGCCAGCAAUGCACGCGGCAACGUGAACCUGAAUUCCCGAAAUCACCGUGAACAAAAUCAAAUCAAUGUAAAUAAUCCAUAAAUGAGACUGCGCACCAUUAAUUACCGAGCGGCAGAAGGCUUGACCUGUCGCGAGCGGCAGAAUUAAUUACCACCGUUGAGGAAGGACAAUCGUUGCGGGACGCGCUUGGCCCUGCGGGUCUGGAUGCACUUGGUUGUUGCGCGUGUUGACCCAAACACAGAAUAAGCUAUUCUACGAUGGAUACAUAGACCAUCAUACAAUAAUACAUUGUUGUACCAUGCACGUAGUAACUAAUAUAGUAAUACUUAUACUGAGAAUAACCAUCCUCUGGUGAUUCAUACACAAACUACAAACUACAAGUACAUAGCUUAAUUAUACGUGUCACACGAUGUAACACAUCAAGAAUUACCUUCCCAUCAAUAAGUUCCAAGUGACAACCACGUGCACGCACAUGGUGUCAUAUAAGUAAUCAAUGGAGGCGAAAUAGGAAUACCGUAGUCCCUUAUAUAACAACAUAAUGCAGAACACCACCCAAAGGCCAAAGAUGAACCCAAUAAUCAUGCUCAGGUAGAUGGACUUCACCAUCCUAUUGUCCUUGUGCUCAGGCUCAUCAACUGGAGAAUUACUUGUUCCAUUUCCAGGGCAAUCCUUUGGGAGCGGAGGACCACAUAAACCAAUGUUUCCAACAUACAUUGAUUCCGGGUCAUCAGUUGCUAGCGUCUGAAGUUGAUUCCCUGUUGGUAUUCUUCCGCUUAGAUUGUUAUACGAGAGGUUGGCUAAAGAAGUUAGAGCUGCUAUGCUUGAAGGGAUCUCUCCUGAUAGCUCAUUAUGUGAUAAGUCGAGGGACUCCAAUGCCUUGAGGUCACCAAUGUUAUUGGGAAUUCUCCCGCUUAAAUGAUUCCAAGAAACAUUCAAGCUUUUCAAAGCAACCAUAGCACUAAUGCCUUGAGGAAUUUGUCCAGUCAAAUUGUUACAUGAUAAAUCAAUAUUUACCAUGUACUGAAUUCCUUUAGAUAAUUCAAGCUGUUGCCCUUUGGUUAGAACUGACGUGGUCUCUGUAAAGGAAAUAGAACUAUAAGUUUGGAUGCCAAUUCUAGAUGCUUCUACUUCAUCAAUAACGACGAUGCCACCCCCAGAUCCUUCUACUUCAUCAAGGGAACUAUAUCCGUUGAAGCGAGCCAUUGCACUCAAGUUCACUAUGGACUCAGGUAUUUGACCAGAAAUGCGGUUACAUGCAAGGUCAAUAUAUUGAAGCCCUUGAAUCGUUGCAAGUUGAACGGGAAUAUUGCCAGAAAAGUUAUUGGACCGCAGUCGUAGCAAUGCUAGGGAUGGCAACUUAUCUCCUAACCAUGCUGGCAAAUUCCCAGAGAAUUGGUUAUAUGCAAGAUCAAGGAAAACUAAUUGUUGGGACAUCUGAAGAGCUGACGGGAAAACUCCUGAAACAUUAUUGCUAUUUAAGUUAAGUGCAAGCAUAUCUUUGUACAGACCAGAAUCUCCUUUGCAAGUGGGCAACUCUCCUGAUAACAUGUUUCCUGAUAGGUCUAGCAUCUCCAAGCCUUGCACGAGGCACAGCGAAAAUGGUAUACUGCCAGAAAUUGAAUUGUUGUAAAGAGCCAAAGUAAAUAAAUUCAUGCCUCCAAAGUCUGGUAGUGUUCCUGAUAAAUUGUUUCUGGAGAGGUCAAGAUAAGUAUAGAAAUUGCUUCUUGGAAAACGUGGAACUGGACCUGCAAAUCUGUUACUACUAAGGUCAAUCAUUCGUGCCGCCAGCAUUUCAAGACUUGCUGGUAAUGUGCCACUUAAUAAAUUAUUUGACAUGUUCAAAUAGGAAGCUGUUGAAACUACGACCCACAACCAAUCGGGUACAUUGUCAUGUAUGGUUGCAUUUGAAAUGUCAAGAACAUUCAUACUCCUUUGCCAUCUAAUCCAUGAUGGGAACGCAGGUCCAAGCUGGCAUGACCUGAAAAUGGCCACCUUUAAUUUGAAUGAAGGAAUCCAAUUCGAGUGUACCCUCAUGGAAAGAGAGUUAUCAGAUAUUUCUAGUACUUGUAAAUUUGUCAAUGCUUCCAAGUGCUCUUCAUUUAUUUCACCAACCAGCUGGUUAGAACCAAGAUUUAAUAUAGUCAAAUUGUUAAGCCCUCCUAUCCACAAUGGUAAAGGGCCCAUGAUACUGUUACCAUGCAAAUUUAAGUAACUCAGGUUUUUUAGAGGCUGUAACCAAUUUGGAAGGUUCCCGUCCAAUUUGUUACCGGAAAAAUCCAACACGUAGAGCUUGUUCCAUGAACAUUUUGGAAGCCUGUUCAUCAAAUCACCUAUAUCCCCAGUGAUAUUACUCCAUUGAAACUCCAUAAUCUUCAAGUUACAUAGGUUCUCCAAAUUCGGUGGUAUCAUACUCCCAAUAUUGUUGCCAGCUGUAUAAACUUCCUCAAGUGAAGUCAUAUUUCCCAUCUCAUAAGGAAUUGGGGCUUGGAAAUCACACCAGGAGAGGUCAAGAUAAGUCAAUGUCCUUAUGUUCCAAAACCAAUUGGGAGAAAUUGCAGUAUGAAAGUAGUUCCUGCUGAUGUCCAAUACCUUAAGUGCUGUUAGAUUAGAAUGGCUGGGAAUGGUAUUUGUGUUUCUUAGAAGGCUGCUACUUAGAUGAAGAACUUCUAGUGACGGAAGGCUGCUAAUUCCAUGAAUCCAGUCUACUGCGGCACUAAGAUGCAACCAGCUCAUGUCAAGGUACUUCAGUAGGGAAAGAUGUGACACCCAUGUAAGGCUGUCUGAGUAUAAGUCCGAGUUGAAGGCAGAAUUAAGAUCAAGAUAGACGAGAUUGGAUAGGUUACCUAGCUGCGGAGGCACUCUCCCCCCAAAUGCCGCCUUAGAAAGGUUGAGGUAUUCAAGACUUUUAAGUGAGCCAAUAAACUUUGGGAUGCUUGAACCAUCGAAGUUGUUACAACUCAAGUCUAAAUACUUCAGAUGCUGUAAUCCAACUAAGGAGGAGCUCAUCUCACCUCCCAGUUCGUAGGAACCAUGGAGAUCGAGCUUGACAACAUGGCUAGUUCUGUUGCUGCAGUGAACACCCUUCCACUGGCAGCAAUCCUCUCCCUGCCAUGAUGAGAGUUGGCCCCCGGGAUCUGAUAAGCCGGCCUUCAAUGAGAGCAGCGCAUCCCUCUCACUUGUGAUGCAUCUCCCAUUCGAUCUCUUAGCUUGAAGGGAGGAACUUGAGGGCAUGGGCAGGAUCAGAAGCAGCCAGGUUAGGACUGUUCCUUGGAGAAGCAGGAACCUCACCGCAGCCAUUUUCAUCACGUCUGAGAUAUGAGUGCAGUAUCAGCGUAGCAUUCAUUCAGCUCAUCUUAUUCGAUGGCAUCCGUUCAGCAGUCAACUAACGCAAAAGUCUUGGUCGUAUCGUCAGCAAUGUUAUACAGUCGUCUAGUCGGACCUAGUCGCCAUGGCACCGACAAGGUGAUUAGUCACGAUUAGUCGUCGAUCAGGUCCGAUUAGUCGGUCCUAGUCGUCCAUACAUACAAGGACCGAUAUGAUAUGUAUACUAUAUAGUGCAUAGUAUACAUCAAGCAUCAACACCACAAAUAAUGAUCAGUUGGCGACUUACUUGAAGCAGGAGCAGAGCAAGCACUAGAGCAGCAGCAGAGGAGAGCAGAGCAAGAGCAGAGCAGCAGCAUAAAAGCAAGAUUAAUCGUGACUAAUCGCGAUUAGUCGGACAUUGAUCGUCGGAAUGAUAUCAUCCACGCAAUUUUGUCGCACAGCUGUCAUAUGCUACCAUUAUUUGUGGUUAAUUAAUGCUAUGGAAAGAUACGAGACAAAAUUCUUAUAGUUAUACUGUUC
rnacentral:lncRNA from 1 species